rnacentral:lncRNA from 1 species
UUGGGGACACCCUUUACAGAAAGCUCUAAUGCCAUCACUUUCUUUUCCUUCCGGACUAAAAAGUUGCUUUGUUUGUUUUUCUUUAUUUGAAAAAAAAAAAACUCCUUCCAAACUAAGUUACCUUGUUGAUAUUAUCCCGGAUCCUAAACCAAUAAAAAGUUAUCUUCUAAGUAAACCAGCUGAGAUCAAGAAGAUCAAAAGGAUACUAGAUCAAAACGAGACUAUAGUUCAGUUCCGAGGGCAAGGAAGAAAGCAUGCGAGGCUGUGAAGAAAAGAAGGCCGUGGUGUCUCACAGAAUCGUCUCCUAUCGUACACAAACAAUGCAAAGGAUUUGUGGGGUGUUUGUGUGUGCAAAAGACAAGAAGGUGAGAUAUGGGCAGCCACAACCAGGGGCGUGUCCCUACUGCGGAGGGACGGUGCAAGCUAUGAACAUAAAGACCCAAUGGAAGUUCUUCUUUUUGCCUCUGUUUUUCUGGAAGAAGAGAAAAUCCUCUUGCAGCACAUGUGAAAGUCGUUGGUGAUUCUGUGAUGAAUUUCGUGUGCAAAAAUGAUGAUAUAGAUAUCUGAGUUGUAACAGUGGUUCUCUCCUAGUUUGCGCAGCGGCAAAGUUGUGGCUGCCGCAAAGGCUUGUUGGACUUUUCUCCUUGUAGUUGCCAGGUGUUUUACGCAUAAAUCUGUCCUUUUGACAGGACUAUAUAUGUGAAUCUUUUGUUUUGUUAGGCAAGUAGCCAGUUUCUGAGUUUAUGGAUAAUGUAAGCUUGUUUAUUAUGCUGAAUGACAGAUCAGUAACGUUAGGUGAUGCUCUCUUUAAAAAUGUCUCUUCACAUUUUCGCUGGCUUAUCUUACAGUACGCAUAAUUUGGGAACGGCAAGCCACUGUUAUUUGCUACCAGAUAAAAUUAAUUUAGGCAGGAGAAAAACUUCUAGCAGACAAGUUUUGUGAUCAAUAACAAGAAGCAAAAGCACUUGGCUGUCUUGGAAUAGCUGACAGGAUAAUGGUUUCCUUGAUCAACUCAAGCAAUAUCUCCGCUCUUUUGUAUCUAUGCUGCCAUUUUAGGACCACCCCAAGCUUUCCCUUUCUGCAAUUGGAACAUGUUUUAUCGCUCCUCCUGGUGCUUCUGAGUUCUGGAAACCAUCUGCGGAAUAUUUUGUGUAAUGUUGACAUUCAAAAUUGUCAAGAAAAGCAAAACGCAAAAGCAUUAUCUUCAGAUACGGGAACAUCUAAGGUAAUUGUUGCUGCUGAGACGAGCUGAAGACCAUGACAUCACCAACAGUUAACUGUCAUUUUGUGUUUUGAACUGUUUUAAUAAUUUCCAAGAAAUAUUGACAGUGUCAGAGCAUGCAGCAGUGACUUGAUUUCUGCCUUCUGCUUGUAGGUAGUGUAAGGCAGUGGUUUAAGCUAUGUUUCUGUAAUCUUUAAGACAAGUCUUAUCUUGCUCUUGUAAGUUACUGAAGUGUAUCAAAUUUCUUCUUUCUUAAUGAAAUUGCAGUGAAGUUAUGUUUCCUGGUUUUUGUCUAUUUUCUGCAAUUCAAUGCUGUAUUUAUGCUUUUUGCUCAUCUAGUUCAACUUGAAUACCAAAAUCUAACAUUAAUAACUGGUAUGGUUUUAGAAUUAGACAAGAACGGGGUUUUCAGUUAUGUGUUCGCUGUCAUCAAACGCCAAUCAUAUUAGUUAAGUACUUUCUUUAUGAACAAAACAACUUGAAGGAGUUACAGCAUCUGCAUAUUAACAAAUGAAAAUAAAGAAAGAAUCCGUACCACUACAGCACUUCCAUAAAAUUUUCUGUCUCAGUGGCAGUCAUGAUUAUGAUUCCUGUCCUGCCAUGAAUUCCAGCCAAAAGCAUUUCAAUUCAGAAUGGCUUCUGGCCUAUCACAUUACCAUGGGGAUCAUAAUUACAUGCGAUCAGUGUGUCUCCACUUUUGCACACAACUUUGGCACACCCAAUCUUCAAGCUAUUCCUCCAAAUUAUCUGAGUAUAAUGCAGGCAGUCUCUGUUUUUCGUGCAAGUAUUAGAAUUAUAGUUGUAGUUACUUUUCUCUGCUGCCCAUGCCGCAACUGCAUCGCCUGGUUUCCAAUCCUUGCCGCUUCCCCAGAAGAGAUUCUCCCCAUAAUUGCCAUUUGAAUGGAUCAAAGCACAGUCACCUUGCCUCUUAUGUGCCCACCAGGAUGCAAAAUUUGCAAGCUUUUUGCUCCAUUUGAGAGGAGGGAGCCCACUCUCUGCUCUUAGAAUGUUGUGGGGUGUUAGAUAUUGUCGAACUGCACCACUAGGAGUUUGUGUAAACAGACGUCUGGAGAUAACAUGGGAAGGAACUUCAUCGCUCAAGUGUGACAAAGUUAAUGGAAGAAGUGAAGAAAGGAGGAGGAAGGUUCCUAGCAGACUACAUGAAAACUUGGUUCUGAUCUCCAUAUUUAAUCUUUUGAAUGGAAAUCACAAGUUAGGCUUUUUGAUGAGCAAGUUGAUUGAAGAUCAGAAGUUAAUUAAGCAAUAUAUACUAGCAUGGAAGAUUUCUGAUGAAAAUUUUUAUAUAAAAGAUAAUAUAUCUUUUCCAUUCUGAGAAAGAAUCAUUUCACAUGGUAGCAGGCUACAAGUUGCAGUACGUUUGAGGUGUAUAACAUGCUUGGGAAACUGCAAUGGGGGAUCAGUUUGACUUUCAACGAACAUAACUGCUUCUAAUCAUUAUAAGCUUAUGAUUAACCAACAUUUUUAGAUAAAAAUGCUCUAUCCCGUUGGAUGUUCUGGUCAUAAUUUUACACCACGUAUCUAGUAAAUUUUUUCUAUAAACGUCACUCUUGCCUUCUUUAAUUUUGCAGUUAAGGUUUAAGAUUUUCUCAUUAAUAACAUAAAACCGAACAGUAAUACAAAAUUAUGAAAAGAAUAUCAUGUGAGACAUAGUUCUUCAUUAGGCAAAUACUGGAGUUUUCUCGAAACAAAAUACGAAGAUGCAAUUAUGCAGGAAUAUGAUGAUUUGAGAAAUAUAUUUGAUAAAGUGGCCUUGGCCGUCAACAUUCUUUCUAAAUAAUAAUCAGAGAAGAAUCUAAUGGAAAGGAAAUGAAUGUCAUACAAGUUAAAAAACUUCUAAGGCACAUGGCAGAUUGGAAGAGGGUUUGGUCACUGAAACACUUCAGCAAAAAAGCCAUUUGAUUGACACGUGAGACCAUGUGAUCCAACUGUGACCGUACAAACAGCAAAUGCAUCAGUUUAAGGGUCGCUUAUAAUAUAAAACUGGGCUGCUUGAAACAUCCCGCGAUCAGAAACAAAAACCCAGAUUAAUUGGCAGCUUCCAGAGUUGUCUGGAUAGGGGGCUAUGUAAGCAUGGUAACAUAAAAUGGUGUCUAACAGAGUAACACAGAUGACACAGGAAGACCCCUGUUUGCCAUUUGGCCUACACAGAGGCAACUAAUAGCUACUUCAGCAAUCUGAAAUGCGAUGAAGACACCAUCAUCCUGCUUAUAUUCCUCCCACUGCUGUUUUCACAAACUAUUUCCUAGAUUAUUAUGAAUCACCAUUUACCAACAACACAAAACCAAUGAAACAGAGCUGCGAGAAUACGAGGAAUGGCUAUGGGCAAGGAAAAGAUUGCCAGGUCCAUCGAAUGGACUCGGGCUCCAAGAAGGGGCGCCCACAGGCCACAAGGCAGGGUGCUGAUUGAUCCUGGGCUCUUGUCCAAUGGACUCAGCCUACCCAUGUUAUUUCUUCAGGCCUAGUGCACUGAGCCCACAAAAGAUAGCUAACAACUUUACGUUUACCCGCCGGCAACUGCGUGAGAGAGGUAGAAAAUACUAUUGAUUUCAGCGCGCUUAGUUGAUGUCACCGUCAUCGCGCAUAAAAUUCUUUGUUCUUACUUUCUUUGAAGAUAAAUUCCUUCUUCGAACCUUCCAUUCCAGGCUCAGGCUCAGCCACACGCGCUUUCAAACAACGCUUCUUCCCUUCCAGACUAACCUAUACUUCUCCGGAUCCUUAAAAGAACUCGCCUUUUUGUCUAUAAAUAUCGUAGCAAGCAAAACGCUCUUGAACAACGAUCUCUUUUGGCUCGUUUCCUUCCAACCAAGAAAUCCCAGAAAGCAAUCAGGCAAUAGACUCUGAUUUCCGUCUACAAGAGCAAGCAAUCAAAACCCCCCCCCCCCCCCCCCCCAACCAAGGUGAUCGAUCGGCGAAAAAGAGGAAGAGACAAAGAUGUGUUUGGUGUUUGUGUGCGAUGAGGAUGAGAGGGUGAUAGCGAGACAGCCGGCAGCAGGGGCUUGUCCCUACUGUGGAGGGAUGGUGCAAGCCAUGGAUGUAGAGAGCCAGUGGAGGUUCUGCUUUUUGCCUUUGUAUUUCAAGACCAAGAGGAAGUACUACUGCAGCUUAUGUGCAAGGCGCUUGGUCAUCCAAUGAUCCCAUUUCUCUCUAUAGAUAUCGGAAUUGGCAUACUUUGUUUGAUUCCUUUCCUUUUGUUUCCCCAAGCCGAUCAUCCCCUCUUCUUUCUUGUACAUAAGUUUGAAUGUUUUGAUCAUAGAAAAAGCUUCUUUAUUUAUUUACUUGCUAUUGAGUUCAUGAGCAUAAAUAAUCUAAAAUCUGAAUGAUCAAUCCUGAAAUCGAUUUUCCUAGGAAUACUUUGGCUUCUUUUUGUUUGGGAUUUUGCCAUAAUUAAAGCUUCAUUAAUUCUCGAAAACUUCAAAUGGAUCGAUGCAGUCUGAGAUUGGGUAUUACCCAUUGCAAAGAUGAGAUGAUCAGCACUCGUUUAGAUUCUAAUUCCAUGACCAUUGACCAGGAACGGGAUUCUCCCUCGGGCUGGAACAUUUUAUUCUAGGCCCUUGCUUCGGCCCAGACAAACAAGCCUCUCACGUGUCCACAAAUUUAGCCCAUGUUGAACCUUGAUCCAAUUUUCAAUUAGAAUGAAAUUAAAGAAAAUAAUUUAACUAAAACGAAAUUAGUUUAAAAAUAAAUACAAUUAAAUUUGUAUACGACUCAUUUCAAAGUUAUAACAUAUACAAUAAUAUAAAUAUAUUAUAACCUAUUAGUAUUACAUUACAAAUCAUUAAAACCCAUAUAUUAUAUAGAAAUUUUAAUUAGUUAGUUGUUUUAUUUUUGAUGGAUUGAUUUUCAAUAUAUUUGUUACUUUGGUUAAAAGUAUUACCAGAUGAUUAACAGAUAAGCUAAUAAUGUUUUUUUAUUUUAUAUUUUUACGUGUCAAAAUGUUAUUGGAUAGAUGGUAUUUUUUCUUUAAAAAAAAAUAAUCCUCAUCUCACGAUAUAGUUAACGCCCGUAAAAAAGGUGAAAAAUUAAAAUUUUCACUGCCAUAAAACGAUAAUCCUUCGCUUCCGCCUAUAAGCUCACAGAGUAGGAAUAGAUCCUUCAUCUUUAGAUCUGAGGAGGGCGUCGUCUUCAUUUUCAAUUUUCCAAUACAAAAAAACGAUGAGCUUAUUUUGAAGAUCUAAAAUUCUCCAACCUCCUCAUAUCCAACAAGAAACACAAAGCUUCUUCGCUUUCACGAACCGGCCUCUCUUCUCGAAGGAUCUGAUCGUUCGAGGUUCCGCUUUCUCUCUAUCGCUCUUUUCAAUUUUUUUCCAGAUCUGUUGAUUUUGCUUUCUACUUGGUUUUCCGGGCGUUUGUUUUUCAUUUACUAUGUUCAUUUCUCUUAUUGCCUGUUUGUUUUUCAUUUUCGAAGCUGAAAUUGUUCGAUUUAGGUUUUGGAUUUCGUGUUCCUUAUUGAUUUGGAUCUUUCAUAGUAAUAACUAUGAGUGGGGAGUAGGAUUGUGCUCUGUGGAUUCGAAUCUGAUUUACAUUUUUACGGCAGUGAGAGUGUGUUAUGUUUAUUGAAUUUGUUAUGUUUUGAUUUGAAUUGUGGAAUUUAGCACUAAUGUUGGAAUUAUAAAGAUGAAAACUAGCGGAUCUUACCUCUUUUCUUUUACUAAGUAGGCCGAUCGACACUGAUUUUCAAUUAAUAACUAAGCUGAGGAGUUUGGAUUUUCAUAAAGAUUCUUUAUUUAGAUCUAUUUCAAUUGUGGCAGUAAGGCAGAUUUGAAUGGAGUUAUAGAUAUAGCACUUUUUUCUUUGAAUUGGGAAUGGUCUAGUUUGAUAGCUCUUCCCGUUUAGUAUAACGAGGCAAUCCCAAAUCUAUAUAUGAUAGAUAUUUCAUGUGAGAUUCAAGUGGAAAUUUUCUCUAAAUUAUUCAUUAAUCAGUAACUGUUAUUUUUUAGAGUUGAGGAGAAAUGUUCUAUGCAAGAUCUGUGUGCAAAUUCUGUAGUAAACAUAUGCUAUUAUUUUCCGGAAAUAUGUUCCUAGGUGGUAACUGAGAGAGGGUAUUGUUUAGGAAGAUGGUCAUAGAACAGAUUUAUCAUUUCAGUUUUCAAUUAACCUCAUGACUUAUGAGAUUUGAAGUAAUUGCUCUUCUUUGUCCAAAAUGGUUCUCUUUCACAGCUACCUAUUAUGAUUUAUGUAAGCUUUGUGAAACUGUCAUGUCAUGGAUGCGUAUUUUAUGCUGAGAUGGCUUUAUUUUAGUCCCAUCUUUGUGAAUCAUCUUUAGUAUUGUACUUUAUUAUGGGUUGUUGAUUUGAAUUUUUAUGUUCCUUUAUAUUGCCAGAAAACUAGCAAAUAAUGGAGAAGUCCUGUACUCUUCUUAUUCACUUUGACAAAGGAACACCUGCAAUUGCUAAUGAGAUUAAGGAAGCGCUUGAAGGCAAUGAUGUUCCCGCAAAGAUUGAUGCCAUGAAGAAAGCGAUUAUGCUUUUGUUGAAUGGUGAAACCCUCCCCCAGCUUUUUAUCACCAUUGUCAGAUAUGUUUUGCCUUCGGAGGAUCACACCGUUCAAAAACUUUUGCUUCUAUACUUAGAGAUAAUUGAGAAAACUGAUGCAAGAGGGAGGGUAUUACCUGAAAUGAUCUUGAUAUGCCAAAAUUUGAGGAACAAUCUUCAACAUCCAAAUGAAUAUAUUCGUGGUGUAACCUUGAGGUUUCUUUGCCGCUUGAAUGAGACAGAGAUUAUUGAACCACUAAUCCCUUCAGUUUUGCAAAAUCUGGAGCAUCGGCAUCCAUUUAUUCGAAGGAAUGCUAUAUUAGCUGUGAUGUCGAUAUAUAAGCUUCCACAAGGUGAGCAGCUGUUGGUUGAUGCACCCGAUAUGAUUGAGAAGGUCCUUUCAACAGAGCAGGAUCCAUCUGCCAAGCGAAAUGCAUUUCUUAUGCUAUUUACUUGUGCACAAGAUCGAGCCACUAAUUACCUCUUGACCCAUGUUGAUAGGGUUUCUGAAUGGGGUGAAUUGCUUCAGAUGGUUGUCUUGGAGUUGAUUCGUAAGGUUUGCAGAACGAACCGUGGGGAGAAAGGGAAGUAUAUUAAGAUUAUUAUAUCUUUAUUAAAUGCCCCAUCAACUGCAGUUAUUUAUGAGUGUGCUGGCACCCUUGUUUCUCUGUCAUCUGCUCCCACUGCUAUUAGAGCUGCUGCCAACACUUAUUGUCAGCUUCUUCUUUCUCAAAGUGACAACAAUGUGAAGCUUAUUGUGCUAGAUCGGUUGAAUGAGCUCAAAUCUUCUCAUAGAGAUAUUAUGGUUGAUAUGAUCAUGGAUGUGCUUAGGGCACUUUCAAGUCCAAAUCUUGACAUCCGUAGGAAGACACUUGAUAUUGUUUUGGAGUUAAUAACUCCCCGAAAUAUCAGUGAGGUUGUUCUUAUGUUGAAGAAGGAAGUUGUGAAGACUCAAAGUGGAGAGCUUGAGAAGAAUGGUGAGUAUAGACAAAUGCUCAUUCAAGCUAUUCAUUCCUGUGCAAUCAAGUUCCCAGAAGUUGCAAGCACAGUUGUGCAUCUGCUGAUGGAUUUCUUGGGAGAUAGUAAUGUUGCUUCAGCUAUUGACGUUGUUGUUUUUGUUCGAGAAAUAAUUGAAACCAACCCUAAACUUAGGGUGUCCAUUAUAACAAGGCUGUUGGACACAUUCUAUCAGAUCCGAGCUGCACGGGUUUGCUCCUGUGCCCUUUGGAUCAUUGGAGAGUAUUGCCUGUCUCUGUCUGAAGUUGAGAGUGGCAUAGCAACCAUCAAGCAGUGUCUUGGAGAGCUACCAUUCUACUCUGUUUCUGAGGAAGGGGAAGCUACUGAUACUUCAAAGAAAACUCCUCAAGCAAACUCCAUUACUGUCUCCUCUAGGAGACCAGCUAUUCUUGCUGAUGGUACUUAUGCAACCCAGAGUGCUGCCUCUGAAACUGCUUUCUCCCCUCCUGCCAUUGUUCAGGGAUCUUUGGCUUCUGGGAAUCUAAGAUCUCUUCUCCUCACUGGCGAUUUUUUUCUUGGGGCAGUUGUUGCUUGCACACUAACUAAACUUAUUCUGAGAUUGGAAGAGGUACAGCCAUCAAAAGUUGAAGUUAAUAAAGCAACCACGCAGGCAUUGCUGAUCAUGGUCUCUAUGCUGCAAUUGGGACAAUCUUCUGUUCUUCCACACCCAAUUGAUAAUGAUUCUUAUGAUAGGAUUGUUCUGUGCAUGAGAUUACUGUGCAAUACUGGUGAUGAGAUCAGGAAAAUAUGGUUGCAGUCUUGCCGUCAGAGCUUUGUUAAAAUGCUUUCAGAAAAACAGUUACGAGAAACUGAGGAAUUAAAGGCAAAGGCACAGGUUUCUCAUGCGCAACCAGAUGACCUUAUCGACUUCUACCAUCUAAAGAGUCGGAAGGUGAGAAAGCUUUGUUUUGUUUGGUCAUUAUUUUUUUUGCAUAUGUUUAACUUCUUUGCUUUGCACCAAGUUGAUCGUGCCUAUUUCUGGUCAUACAUGCAUGUUUGGUAUUUUGUUUAAUCAUGUAUAUUGUUUUAGUUUGUCUUAUAGAACUUCUCUGCUUUAUCUCCUUGGUUCACCUUCUAGCUUUUGCAGAUAUUUUGGCUAUUGACUCUUAAUUUCAAUUCUUAGAUUUUUGUCACAAAUUUAUGUACUUGUGUUUAAAAUUUUCUAUUGCUAACUUGCAGGGUAUGAGUCAGCUAGAAUUGGAGGAUGAGGUUCAAGAUGAUUUAAAGCGGGCAACUGGAGAGUUUGUCAAGGAUGCAGAUGACGCAAAUAAGCUUAACCGCAUUCUUCAACUGACUGGAUUUAGUGACCCUGUAUAUGCUGAAGCAUAUGUCACUGUGCAUCACUAUGAUAUUGUUCUUGAUGUCACAGUUAUUAAUCGGACCAAGGAAACCCUUCAGAAUUUGUGCUUGGAGUUGGCAACUAUGGGUGAUCUGAAACUUGUUGAGCGUCCACAAAACUAUACCCUAGCUCCUGAAUCUAGCAAGCAAAUAAAGGCCAACAUCAAGGUGUCUUCAACUGAGACUGGAGUCAUAUUUGGCAACAUUGUUUAUGAGACUUCAAAUGUCCUUGAAAGAACUGUUGUUGUUCUUAAUGACAUCCACAUUGAUAUCAUGGACUAUAUUUCUCCUGCUGUUUGUACUGAUGCUGCUUUCAGAACUAUGUGGGCAGAAUUUGAGUGGGAAAACAAGGUAUCUCCUGAACUAUUUCUCAAUAUAAACAUCCCUGUUUCCUUUAAUUUGCAAGCACAAUAUUGAUGCUUUCAUUUGCGGUGAAUAUAAUGUAUAUAGAAUGCAAGUUUAAAUUAGCUCAAAUUUGUAAGUUGCUCACAUGCUUUUGCAUAGUGUUCGAUUACCCUUUAAUUUUAUUCCCCUUGUACUGCUAAUAGAGUUCACACUAUAUAUCUGUAAGCUUCUCAUGGGCUGAGCUAGCAUUUCUCAUCCCAAUUAAUGUUUGGUGUUUCAAUUUUAAUUUUCAUUAUCUGUUUUGUGUUUCAGGUUGCCGUUAACACUGUAAUUCAAGAUGAGAAGGAAUUCCUUGACCAUAUUAUCAAGUCAACCAACAUGAAGUGUCUCACUGCACCGUAAGUUUACCUUAUUCAGAAAUAUCUAGAUUUAAAAAUUAACCAAUCAGUUGUCGGUUUCUGCAUACCAUGCUGUAGGUUUCACCUUAUUAAGGUUGCGGCAUGAUAUGUGAUAAAUGUGUGAACUUAGUGUUGUGAAACAACUUAAUGAAUCUGUCAUGCUCAAUUUGUACAAUCACAACUUUAUAUUAUGUUGGUUUCCAUGUCUUUUUUUAUGGUUCUGUGACUCAAAAUAACCUUUAUUAGAAGGCUGUUGAACACAGUAAUAAAUCUCUUAUAUGAACUCCUUGUAGAUCAUCUGAAUUGUUAUUAAUCCAUUCUUUCUUGUUCUUGCUUUUCGCUGGCUGGUUUGUGUUUUAGAUCUGCGCUAGAUGGUGAGUGUGGAUUCCUGGCAGCUAACCUGUAUGCAAAGAGUGUGUUUGGGGAGGAUGCCUUGGUAAACGUGAGCAUUGAGAAACAAGCAGAUGGGAAGCUUAGCGGGUACAUCAGGAUAAGGAGCAAGACCCAGGGGAUUGCUCUUAGUCUUGGGGAUAAGAUCACUCUAAAACAAAAGGGAGGCAGUUAAUAUGUGCAUCAUCUGUUUUCACCGAUACUGGUAGUCAUUAUAACGUUUCGGCUUGUCAGUUACUGCCUCUAACCCCCAUUGAAAUGAAAGAUUUAGUAACCUUUGUUAUUCUGUUUAAAAAUGCAGGUACUUGGCUCACAAUACAAUCGAUGGCUGCCUUCAUUUUUGUUGGGUUCUCUGUAUCUAGGGGUAGUAGCGGGUAUCAAGAGUUGAGAUUGUUGUAUUUGGAGUCACAUAUUUCCAACAGUAGAAGGGUCAUUGAACAUUGGUUAAAAUACUGCUUUUUUGGCGAUGUUAAAACAGGAUGUGCUUUUUGUGCUGCUGAUUCUUUAAAAUAGUAUUGAAGUCAGAGCUCUAUUUCAGUACCACUUGCUCCGUAAUAAAUCAUCCCAAUUCUUUGGUUGCUAUUCUGGUUCGCUUUUCGCUUCCUGCUUUUGCUUUGUUUAUCUCUCUUCUGAUUGCGGCCCCGCCCCCAUGUUGUGCUUUGGAAAGGUAAUAUCAGCAAAUUUUCUCGCUCUCAGUGGUAUUCCUUGACAAAAGCUAGGCCCCGGGCUUCUCCUCUGUAUGGAAACCAGAAUGACUCGUUCUUGUUUCAUGAGAAAGUCACGAGUCUUUCCGAGUCUUUAAGCUCUACGCAGAUUGCAAGCAGAGCGAGUGUUAGCAUUGGGCCUUGGGAUCUCGCAGCAUCCUAAAUGGGCCUAAGCCAGAAAUCUUACAAGUUCUUCUCGUAAAAAGGACGUAGUUUAAUUAAACAUACUUGCGCAGUCGCUUCCGAGUUCUUGGCAAGUAGGCUUCAGUGCCAAAUAAAGGCAUGAAAACAGCAAAGCUUUGCUUCGAUGCUGAAAAUAUAAUAAAUUUCAACUCAUACAGGGAAUUUAGAUGUCGAAAGAAUCACGGUACACAACCUAUGAUCUUAUGCUCACCCUUUGAAUUACUAUUGGAUUAGAACAAUCAAAAUAAUCACUUACAAAGUUUCAACUUUUUGAAAAACACUGAUACUAUAGACUUGGGGUAGGGUUUUGUAGCCAGACAGGUUGGAAUGUUUUCAGGCUGUUCAAUCCAAAGUUUAUGAGCAAUACCACCGGCUGUCAGCUUUUCAGACAAGUUCAAUAUCUGGGUUUCUCCUUUCACCUCAAGGGUAACCUACAUGUUCCAGAAACAAGACUGUGGUCAGAACAUUUAGCUCAUGCUCAUUCCAGCCAGACAGACCAAUAAAAGACCAAAAUCAAGGAACAAUUAUAGGACCAUCACACAACUCCAGACAAAAGGGCAAAAAAUGACCAAUCAAAUUAACACCUCGUGACAUUCGUUAUCAAGCGAUAAUGAGAUACUGCCAAAUACUCAGGGGAUUACAAAGGGGAAAACUCGAAGACUAUUAACACGAUGAGUGAAAGAGAAAGGUUUAAUUGACAAUAGAAAUGGCAAUCAUUUCUUCUAAUGGCAAAUCUGUGUGCGGGCUCAUUUUAAGGUAAUGGUAAUCAACUAACUAGACAUUAAUUUUUCCUAGUAGAACAAAGUUUCACCUUUAAAACCUUUCAUUACUACAAACAUAGCAAGAUCUUUCAUUUACUACAACUUUAAAACUUUUGUCUUGCUUCCAACAUCCCUUGUUGGAUGGUUUUAUGGGACAAAUGGAUCAUGCUCUCUCAUCCGUUAUCUCUUCUGCUAUGAGAUUUAUAAGCCAAGAAGGACUAAUCCACUCAUUUUUGGGUGGCAAAGUCCCAAGCAAGGAGAGAUCUAAGCACAAUCUAGUAGGAGAAACAGAAUGGGAGUGUGACAAUGAGGCUGCCUCCAAUUUGCCACGACCAUACUUCAUACAAGAGUAAAGAAGACAGGUUGCAUCAGCUAACACAACCUCUUUGACCAAAAUGACAAAUUAAGGUUCUUCAUAUCAUUAUGAUGAAGCUGCAUUCUCAUCUGUUUUAUUAAUUUUCACUUAUUUCUAGCCUUCCACAGAUCAAUUUAUCAGGUAAAGCCAUCAACUUUAAUCUAUAAUAAAUCCAAUUUAUGGGAAGAACAAAAGUUUGCUUUACCUUAUGCAUAGAGUCAAUGGUUUCAGGGCUGCAGUACUGGAGAGUAUGUGGAUCGUCCUUGUGAGACCAAAUGGCACAGACGGAGGCGUGGCACCCCUGUGUUACCACGCUCCCCAAUGGCCACGACUCUAUCAGGUCUCUCCGGAGCACCACGUACUGCACCAGCAUGUCCUCUUGGUCGUUCUCCGCCCUCGCCGACUCGGUUUUGGUGGCGCCGGCGGGCUGGGAGCUUGGUUGACUCAUUGGGCUCGAAGACGAAAGCUUCCGAGUAGUGAGGCAGAUUGGAAGAUGGGGACGAACCCGAAUCUUAAAGCUUCUCGGGGACGGGGUGCUGAAGCAGCUGCCAAGGAUUGUGGUGAACCUACACAGUGAGGGAAGUGCGGCCAUCAUUGACACCUUAAACGCUGCGUCGCCUGCUUCGUUGCGGAUUUCCUUUCACAACUUUACUGGCUUUGGGCCGCAUUUGCACCUUGGGUUUAUGGACCUCUCCUUCUCCCUUCAAAUUCUUUUGGGUUGGACUGGACCUCCAGCCUUGAAACAGUUGCAUCUACAUGCUUAGAAAUACAGCAAGAUGCGCAUCAAAUCUCUACAAUGCAUGCAAGUUUGUAUCACAGCUUUGUUUGAAACAUUCAUGGGAGCCAAGUUUUCCAUUUUGGAAUAUUCUGAGUGGCCAAAAGGAGUUAUGUUUGAGUCUAUCUCUUCACAACCCAUGAAAGUGGCAGGCCGUGCACCUUAGCUUAAACCCCCAAACUGCCAAAUGCCAACGUGCCAAUAUCUCUUUUGUCUCUCUUUGGAUUCUUCUUUUUUCAUCCACCAAAACCAAAGCCCACCCCCCUUUGUAUCUCCCCACUUCACCACCAUCACCAUCACCAUCACCAUCACCAUCAGCCUUUUCACUAGCACCGAUCCAAGUUUAAGAACUCUUCCCUAACAGUCCAUUUUCAACAAUUGUAAAGUUAAGAAUACACAGUUUUUGCGUUCAUCACCACCACCAUUCACCCCCACUCCCGCCCCUUUUCACAUUUCUCUGAUAUCUGAUGUUGGGAUUGUGGGGAUUGACGCAUGGAGGCCACGUGCUUUGCAUCCUUUUGGUUGAAAUGUUUCUUUUCUCAAUUAUUUGUCAAGAUAAAGAUAAGAUUCCCAACAUCUUACAUUUAAUAUGUCAUCAUUUGAUGGUUGGCACGCAUUCUUCAACACAUUGUUUAUGAGAAAAGACAUUUACCAUUUUUAAAGGACAAAAAAAGAAGAAGCGAAAAAAGGAUAUGUUAAGAUGCCAUCUACAAAUUGAAAUAAGAUACUGCUAACUCCAUUAUUAUACUAUAUCCACUUGGACAAUAAAAAAAUGGUGUAACCCCAGAUCUCCUAUCUGUCACCAGACAACUUAAAUGUCAAUAUUGUCCCCAUUCGACAACCUAGGUGUUCUAAGAACAAAAGGACAGGUUAGUCUUUAUGCAAGAAAAAGAAAAUCUAAGAAUUUACAACACAUAUCAUUCAUACAUACAUACAUGAACAUGAUCCAUCAUCUCUAUCCAUAACUAUGUCUACCCCAUCUCGUGUCUACUAUAACAAAAAUGAGGAGGAUGAUUUCAUGUUGUAAACAUAUUUAUUUUUAUAUAUACUUGUACUUGCUAAAAAUUUUGUUUUUCUUCUGAGUAAAUAGAGAAGAAAAGGCAGGACAAGUAAAAAAUAAAAAUAAAAACCAAAAAAAGGGGGGUCUAAUCUAAAUCCUAAAGCAUUUUUCAUGCCGAAAGCAAAGGGCGUCAUUGAUGUUCUACUUGCAGAUCUGUUAGAGAGAAACAACUCUGCGACUUAAAAGUGGCCUUCAGCUUGCUUUGCUGCAAUUUUGGUUUUUGUGCGGCUACUGAUAGUUUAUCAUUUGAUGAUGAUGAUGAUGAUGAUGAUGAUAUUGAUGGCGUUUCUUUAUCCUCUCCAUCUUCUUCAUCGUCUUCAUUCAAAGCAAGGAGGGGCAUGGAGUUGGGGUUCCGCCAAGAGUAGAAAGAUGACUUCCUGGACCACUUGUUUGCAAGUAACACCCUCCUCCUUUUGUUGAAAGGAUUCUCUGGCUUCUGCAGAUCUUCCACUGAGCUUAUAUCUGAGAGAUUAGCAAAUGACUUUGAUUUCCCUGCAUAAUGAUUCGACAAUCCCCUCCUGCAAAUUCAAUGAAAACAAACCCUUUUGAUUCCUUGUAAUCAAGAACAAAAUACCACAAAGCAGUUCAAAUUUCAGUUGAUGGAUAUUCCCUUCAGAGUGCUGGUUCUAUGAUUAAAAUCAGAUAGAGAUUCAUACUGUCCCUUAUUUUUUUUUCUAACUACAACCACAAGAGAAUCAAAAUAGAGAAUAAUAGACAGGUAGAAAUUCAACACCAUAAUACCAACAAACAGAAAAAUCAACGAGACCCCAGAAAAGUAGUGGUUUCAAGUGAUAAAAUUAACACAGAAACUGGAGAGGAGACCUGAUUGAGGGAGCCAGAGCUUAAGAAAUGAAAAAAAAAAAAAGGAAAAAGAUACUAACUUGAUGGGAAGAGAGUCCUCUAUAGAAACCAAAGAAGCCAACCCACCACUUCCCCCAGAUGAAACGACGCCCUCUUCCUCUUCAUCAUCGCUGUGUCCCGGAGCUCCGAUCGAAGACGAACUCUCCGAAGAUAGCUCCGGCGACCCGAGAUCCGACCCUGUUCCCUCCCCGGUGGGAUCGGCGCCACCAGCAUCGUGCUCCUUGAUAAACAAGCAAGCGGCGGCGGAGGAGGAGGAGGAGGAGGAGGAGGAGGAAAUCUUCUCCUGAGGACGGUCUCUAACGUAUGUGGCGGACGCAGCAACCUCGAUGCCGAACGUGGAACCCACCAGAACCUCCAUAGUUUUUUCUCCUUCAAGAUACCAGCACGAAACUCGGCUCGCAAAAUUCAACAAAGUUUCAACCUGCUCCUCUGGGUCUUCGUCUUCGCCUUCUCCUUACCUUCCGGAUGGGGUUCACUGUCAUCAAUCGGAAGCUUAAGGCUUGGAACAGUAUGCUAAACUAUCCGGCCAGCUGAGAGAGACAGAGAAAAAAAGAUGCGCAGGACAAGAGGAUGAGAGGGUGCGUACGUUAAGGAUUUUUAAGACAAGCACCAAAGAUACCAAGGGGACCAACAGCAACAAGGCUAUCCAUGUCUCCCCAUUAUAUUUCACUUCUUAAAGAGAGAGAAGAAAUGAAAAAGCUUUUUAGCUGUGGAGAGAGAAUGUUAGAAGCAAAAGGAGAAAAGAACAGAACACGAUAAGAGAUGGAUUAGAUAGAUUGUAGAUAAAUAUAAAACAAUAUUUAAAAAAUUAUGGGUUUUUUAUGUAUUUUAAUAGUAUUUAAUACGUAUUCGUAUUUUCGUAUGUUUAUACAGAAUCGACGGGAAAGGAAAGAAGGGAAAGUUUGUAACGUUGAUUGAAUAGAACGCGGUUUGACACGUUCGCAAUGACGUGGCAACGACGAAGACCAGAAAAAAAUCCCUAAAAAACACGUUUUUUAUUCUGUACGGUCUUAAAUCCCUAAGCCAUAUCUGUUCUUCAUUCAAUCACUCCACUUUCCGUAUCUCUAAUCUCCAGUCUCUAAUCUCUAUCCACAUAAAUACCAGUCCAUAUUGAUUAGUAGACCGAAUAUUCCAUGCAUUUGAUUGUUUCGAUUUUAAACUUAACAAUAAUUAAAUCGAUUUAAUUAUAUUUUAAAAUUAAAAUAAUCUAAACAAAAUUAUAUUCCAUCUGUUAAUUUUUAUAAAAAACAAUCAAAUCGAUUGAAUUAUACUUUAAAAUAAAAAUAAUCAUAAUUAAUUUACAUUCAUUUAUUGAUUUUUAUCAAAUAAUAAUCAAAUCGACUGAAUUAUAUUACUAAUAAAUUUUACAAACAAAGAUUUAAAUAUUCUAUUUAAACGCAUACUUAUUAUAUAAUUAUUAAGCUUUAUAUUUAAAAACUUAUUUAUUAGAUAAAAAGAGAAGAAGGAAAUUUAUUUCCAGUAAUAUCCUUUUCAUGGCACGUUUUACUUUCAUUCACCAGGGAGUUCGUAAAAGGAAUUAACUCCAAAAGGAUAAUGACAAUGAGAUGUUACCAUGAAUUGAAUGUGCAUUCAUUUCAUUAUCCAUCUAUACAAUUUCUAGUAUUUUUAGCCUAAUUAUAACAGUCAUAUGAAUUAUAAAUUACAUCUGUAAAGUUAACCUACAAUACGAUUACGAUGUUAUUAUUAUAAUUAGAAAAACUAUACAAUUUAACAUUUUUUUAAUUUGCCUAUUUAAACUUUGUUGGAGAUCUAACUGUACAAUGUAUAAUCUAUGUCGAUUUUUGAUUAAAAAUAACAUAUUGUUGUUGUUAGAAGUGCAUACAGUAUGAAAACAACUCACAUGUCUCAGUAUUUAUUUUAUAAAUACAAUCAAACUUAUCACCUUAACCCUAAGAAAUCUUAGUAAAAAGAAAAUUAUUGUAAGGAUAGAAUCUGUUGACAAUUUACAUGGUGGAAGCUUGGAAAUUGAAGAGGUUGACUUCAAAUUCUUCCAGCUUGAAUACUGGGGUGGUGCAAAUCGAAACUCGUGGCACAGAUGAGUUCAAUAGAUAGGGUAGAUUAAGCUAUUGAAACUGAAUUAUUGAUGAUAAUCAGAUCAUUAGUUUAAUUAAUCAAAAACUUUAUCGGAUUAAGAUUCGAAUGGAUCCAAGGAUUUGACUAUUGGACUAGUUCAGCAAGGAAGAUUAUAGUAUUCAUUGAGUUAGUCGGUAAUGAGUAUUCAUUUUUUUAAGAGAUUUUUUUGACGUGAGAUUCACGGCAAUUAAAAAUGGUAAUUACAAUUUGCAAAGAGAAAGAAAGAAAGAAAGGGGAGUGGAUUUGUUUUUGUAAAUGAAGGGCCCAGAGAUGAGCAUGAGCACCACUUUGACAAGAAACAAGAAAUGCCACUGAGAGUGGUAAUUUAUGCACGGUGGACUUUUCCUUAUUGGCGGACAGAUAUUCUGAGCCUAGGUUUGAUAAAUUAAUUAUAUAAUUAUUAUUUUUUUUAAAAAAAUAAGUAUUAAUAACAUUAAAUGAAGGGAGGGUAAUUGGAGGAAAUUAGGUCAAUUUUGAGGAGUGACCAAUGGAUGUCAUCUUGCCUUUAGGCUUAGCCAUUCACCAAACCUAGCUUUAUCUCUUUGGAUCAUACUAUAUUUAUAUAUACUAAGCCCAGGCUUUGAUGGUAGGAAAUCCAUUAUUCAGUGUCGAGCAUCUUUAAAAUGGGGACAGCCAACUAACUACACCCAUACAUUUGUCUUUACCUUCUUAAUUUAAUCCAGAGUUUUUUUUCUUGGUUUUAAAUUUGAACUUAAUUAAGCUACUUCGUACAAUGGUAUUUACUUAUACUUUAUGGGAAGGACUUUUUCUUGGUUUAUGCCACGUGGUUAAAUCUGUUAAAUCGUCAAACACAUCAAUUAUCACGUGAUUACGUCUCUUAAUUAAAUUAUUAUGUGAGUAUGAAAUACCUAUUGAUAAUGGAUUUGAUGAUAAUUAAUUUUUCGUUAAAAUUAAGAUCAUUACAAAAAUUUAAUCAUUUCAAUUAUGUUUUAAUAAAAGUAAAUAUGUUUAAAUAGACCCGAGAGAUUAAGAAGCUUAAAAUUUUAAACCAAAAGACACCAGUAAAAGAUAAAAUGGGCCGAUAAAUUUUACUUCUCAAUUUCAGACAAAGCUUACAGCUUGGAACAUGAUCACCAAAAAAUAAGAUGAGAUUUAUUGUACGAAUUACAUAAAUGAAAUCUAAAAAGAAAAGUUGCAUAGCAACAACAUUAGUACUAUUAAGUUAUGAGUUUGUUUUCACCCUACCCACCAAACAUUGCGUUUUUAGGAAAAAUGAGCAGGAGGAGGGAUACAUUGAAACGAUAAUUGAAUAGAAAAUGAAAGAGAAAUGUAAUUUUGGACACAAGUGCAUCUUUUGGGCCAUGUUCUUUGCAAUCCGAAAUGGGUUUGAAGUCAAGUUUUUCGGCUAUGAUUAUGAACAAUGGUGACGUUUCCUGGCAAAGAGGCUGAAGAUGCUACAAGGAGGUAACCUAAAAGGAGUUGAUUGGUCUAAAUUCAUACAAGUUCAAAGCAUUUAUCUUAUCUUGGUUUGACAAAUUGACUCGUUUUGAACCCGACGUGCACGGAUUGAUAAUGAGAAAUUUGCUUCCAAGUCGUAAAACACAUUCUUGUUGGCAAUGAGGUGAGCAUUUCUGCCAUCCUUUCGCACAGCAGAAAUAGAGACGGCUUGGUGGGUUUGUUUUUUCCUACCCAAAGCGUCAAAUGGUAAGCUUUUCAAUCAUGCAAUGUGUCAUUUGGCAGAAGAAUGUAGCACAAGUAAUCCCAAAUUACUCCCUAGUCUUUCCUUGCCAAGUUCCAACAGCAGGCAGGCCCGCCUGGAAACAUCAAUCUUCUUCCGCCAUAGCAAGUUCGAAUUUGAUGCCGCAAUGCAAAAGGAAUGCAUAUCCCCUGUGAAAGCAAGCCUUUGUUGUUGAUUUUGACAUCAGAAUUCUGUAACUCCUGUAUAGAUAAUCAUCGUCCUGAAGAGCAUCUCUACAUCUAAUUCAUUCAUUGAUACAUUAUUCCCUAUCUAAAAAUAAAAUCCGAAUCUCUUUUCUUUAAUUAUAAAAAAAUAAAAAAUCAUCAUCCUAAGGAAUAAAGGACGCCCACCAUCCCCAGGAUAAGAUUUAGAUUUCCCGAUAAUUUUCACAUUUGCUUGUACAGAACAAGUCGCAUCACAGCCGCCCAACAGGAUAAAAAUCUAGGCUUCUGCUCGAAAAGUCACCCCUGUGGAUUUAGAAUCUCGUCAUGGUACCACGCAUCCAAGCUAUGUUGACUUUGAAGUUCUAAUUCCUAAACAAUGAUUUGCUGGAAACAGAUUUUAUACCUAACGUAUCAGCAUUCUUUGACAAUCAUGGAAAAUCUUUCUUAAUCCUUCGAAUGGAAGAUGUUUGCCCAACGGCAGACUGCUUCUUGCUGAUAAGGUCUGCGUUCUGACCAACUCUAAUACAGAGUUUUCAAUUCCUACUGCCCUGCUUCCAGAAGGUUGAACCGAACAUUUAAUCCAACACUUGAUUUCAUGGAAAUAUGAUACAUCCUGAAAGUUAGCCGUACAUCCAAUGGAUCUCUCCUAUAAGACUUGUUUGAUUCUCAUGGUUCUAACUAUACAUGGCUAGUCCGAAAGCUCCAGUAUGCUUGAACAAAAAAGAGAAAAGGAGAUGGAGAAACAUAUUUGAAGAACAAAUGACUAUUUUAAUCUUGGAGAAACUAGAAUUACAGAAUCCGCCAACAGAGUUUUAGCAGAUUCUUGGCUAUAAUACACCAGUAUGCUCUAGAGAACAGGUCCAGCCAUCCAACAACACAAGUAAUAAUCAUCGCAUUAGUCAAUUCUUUUAGGGAAAUUGAUGACUACAUAAUUUAAUCAUAGCUAGACCUCUAGUUUCACUUUAUGUCAAAAAAUUGUACAUGAAAUCUAGCAAAUUACAAGCUUUAAUGCCAACUAGCUAGUAACUGAAUCAAUGAGUGAAUAUGAAAGUAAAAGGAAAAGCUAUACUUGAAAGUAUUAUUAUUAUCUACGAACCCAACAUACUCCAUUUUUAUGUCUGGCACCCUCCAUUUGCCUUGCAGAACCAUCCAGGCAGUGGACAGAGCAAAACUGUUUCUCAUCUAUUCUGGCAACUCCUAAAACUUGAUCCUCGAGUAAUGAAAUAACAAUGUCUAGAGGAACUGCUGUCUUCAACAGCAAAGGAUGAAAUAUGAUAGGGAAUAGUUCCACACCCCUCAGAACACCCUAUGUACAAGAUAAUAGAUUAACCCUCUAAAACACAGGGAAUAUGUUGACUGGACAAUCACACAACUGCAGAUGCAGUACGGCGUAGAUCUACCCCAUUAUCCAAUUUGCCGCUGGUUGGCCUGCCUUUAAAACUACCAUACCUUUCCCGCCUUGGCAGAAAAAGAGAGAGGAGCAUUUGCUCCAAACCCUGCACUGUGUACUUUGCAUACUUACUGGAACUUGCAUCUUGCUCUACCAAUGGCCCAUAAUUUUGCAUAUAGCUUCGAUAGACAGGUAGCACAGUCUGCACUAUUAGCUGGCAUGUCUUCUCCCUCAAAUCUCUUUCUGAGAUAACCCAACCAGACUGCCUCUUAUACAUCUCAUCAAAAGCUUCAUUGAAAGUCUUCAGCCUUUUCUUUACAAGAUCACGAGCAGUGGCACGGCCCCCUGAGAACAGAAUUAAACCUUCCCGGCUUAAAUGACCAGGAAGUUUCCCCCAGCUCUCCCUUAAGAAGACAGUGGAAUAAUACUCCUUGUACUGUUCAUGUUCUUUCAACCAAGAAUCUCCCAUGAGCUCUCCAAGUCCCGUCCCCUUUAAGUGUUUGUACAGAUGCCAGUGGUUGUUCAUUGCAAAAAGAUAGGACAGGGUAGCAUCAUCAUACGCUUUCACCCAUGUCUCCAAAUUCAAAUCAAUGGCCUUAACUAUUUUCAAAACCUCACUGACAAGAAUCCUCUCUUGGAAUUUUUCAUGCUUCCAACUUCGGUGAAUGACCAGAACUUGGGUCAGGAUAGGCUUAUAACCAUCACCAAGAAGUUUAUUACAGUAAUCAGUUAUAAAACUCACCAAUCUUGGAACGCUCCCAUCCUGAGGGGGCGGGCUCUGCCUUUGUAAUUCCACCUGUACAAAAAGUUCCCAGAAAAUUUCAGCUGCACCAUCAAUCACCCUCCUGAUGAGAUCUCUUGUCAGGUUUUGGAUCUCAAUACAUGCUGCUCCGCCGAAAAGCCGGUUGAAAUCCAAUCUCAAUUUGUUUAGAGAAGCAAAUAUAUCCAAUAACUUCAGCAGCUUAAUAGGAUCUUUCUUACUUUCUGUAACAGUCUUCCCAAACUGAAGAAAAGCAAGAAUACCAGCUUGAGCAGCUAUUUUAGCAAAGCAUCCCAUCCAAACAUCCAGACCAAUCCUCUCAAAAACAUCAUUACAAAGUUGGAACUCUGCCUCAAACAAAUGCUUUACUGCAAACUCCAAAUGUUUUCCCCACUGUCCUAUAUACCCAUCUAUGCUCUGCACAUCAUUAAAUUCUGAGACCGAGAUCUCAAGAUAAUCCAAAUCAAGUGCCUGCAAACUAGCUCUGACAUUUGAGCUACGAACUUCAACAUAAAUUGUAAUGCACUUCUCAAGUCUAUUAUUAGCAAUCAGCCUACCAAGAAUUGCUUGCAACUUCUGAAUAACAGUCACAGGUAAUGGGGACGGUGCAAUGCAUGCUUGUUCGCCUAGCGAUGGAGAUGACAUUGGAAGUGGCACACUAUGCUCCGUCAAUAGUCGUCUAAACUCACUUUCCAAUUUAUCUAAUGCAGCAUCUAAAAGCCCACCAUCAAUAUGUAUUUUUUCCCCAUCCUUUUGCAACUCCCUUAGACCCUUGAGUGACUUCUUCAGAUUUGAAAGAUACAGCCCAUCAGCAACUCUGUUAUCCUCCAAAUACUCAACUAUAUCUUCCAACCAUUGAAUCGCCAAGCCGCAAUUAUCACCCAGAAACCUUAAUGCCUCUUCAAGGCGUUUCAACACCGAUAAAUACCCAGGCAGAUCAUUCCUGGGAUCUGACAGUAAGGACUUUUCAAGUCCAUGAACGGCAUCAAAAACCUUAAGCACAGCUGCAGCAGGGCCCACGGCUCGGUUAAUGUGACCACCAACAGCAGCAAGAGCAUCUUUGUCGGCACGAAUUGGGCGGACAGCAGCUUCUAAGGAAGGCAAUCUUUGUUUGAUCUCCUCUAAUCUAGGUCCAGCCUUUUCAAGAGCCAAUCCUAGGGUUUUCGAUUUCUCUAAGCUAAGCUUUAGUGACUUCUUUGCAGCUAUCAAAUUAUCAAUACAAUUAUUGUUCUUGCAAUCAUUAUCAUUUGCUGAUGGUUCCAUCUUAAACCCCGAAGAAAAAAAUCCUACUGAAUCCAAGCUUGGAAAACUAUGAAUACGAGUGAACUGAGACUACAAAUUUUUAAGAUCUACAAGCAGAGCCAAAAAACAAAGGGGCUUUUUCCUUGUCUACUUUCAACGAGUGAUCUUAUCAAUUUCCCUCGGAAUCAUCGAAGGAAAAAUAGAAAACGAAAUUAACCUGGACUCAUGUAAGAACAAUCCCUCAUUCUUUUUUUUUUUUCUAUUAUUCUUCACCAAACUCUCACCAAAUUAAAAUAAAAAAAAAAAAAAGAGGAGGGAGCAGAGAGAAAACGAGAAAAUAACUCACUCGGAAAUAGAGAAGAAUGGUAGUUGGUUGAGGGACCUGAGUUGACACGACCAGUUGAGCUUAGCUGAGCUGGAAGGAGAGAGUUGGAGUGGAAUCUGGAUCGGUGUGUGUUGGAUUCAAAGAGAGAGAGAAACCCUAAAGAGGGAAUAAAUCUAAAGAAAAAAAAACCAACGUAAAAAACUGUGAGAAAGAAGAAAAAAAAAACGAAAACUUUACACCUCGUUUUGCCUUGUCCGACGAGUCCUGCCAAAGUGCCUGACAGUAAGGCACCCGCUUCUCUCUCUCUCUCUCUGUCUUUCCAAAGUAUGCUUCGCUCCUUAUUACUAUUUUACUAUUUUUUACAUUAUUAUAAAGAAAUCUUUAUUUAAUAUCAUUUUGUUUUUCAUACGUUUGAUCUGUCGAUGGUACGAUUGAUAUUUUCUUAGUUUGGAAGCAUGUUUGUUUUAAUUUCAGUAAAAAUCAAAAUUAAUUAAUAUUUAAGAACGGGAAUAUAUAAUUGUUUUGAUAAAUAAAAAGAAAGAAAAAUAAUAAUAUUUUUGAGUAAAGGGUAUAAAUGGAUAGGUUCUAGUAUUUUCUUUGUUUUUACUGCUAAGCUUACUUUAUAUAUUUAUUACAACUAAGCUUAACAAUUUAUGUUUUCGUAUUUCAAACGUGUUAGACACGAUUAGAUACAAAACACGUUAAAAUUAAAUACGAUAUAAAUAAUAUUCAUAUCUUAAAUCUAAAAUAAGUACAUGUAUACGUUUAAUAAUCGUAUAACAAUAUGCAACAUGAUUAACACGUUUAUUAAAUGUGUCAAUAUACAACACAAUACGAUUAAUAAUACGAUUGACACGUUUAACAAUAUUAAAAUAAAAAUAUUUAUAAUUAAAUAUAAUUUUAUUACUUAAAUUUAAAAUCAAUAAUUAUAAAAAAAAAUUAUAGCAAAACAAAAUAAUAAUAACAUCAAAUAUAUUAAAAUUUAACAUAAAUAACAAACAUAAAAUUCAUUAUCAAGUAAUAUUAUGAAAUCCAUCAUUAACAUCUAACCUUAAAAUACUAAUAUCAUCUAAAAUUAUCCAUAAUUAAAUAUAUAUCAUUAAUCACAUCAUCAACCAUAAAUAAUUUCAAGCACGAAAAUCAAAAUUAUUUAAGUAAAGCUAAAAUAGUCUUUGAUUAUUAAUUUUUAACAGAUUGAUAAAUGUGUUAUAUAUAUAAAUUUAAACACGAUCAUAUAAUUAAUUAAAUAUAUUUUAAAUAUAUUAUUCGUGUUUGAUACAUUAAGAUAGGAAAAUUUUUAUGUACUAAAUAUAUCAAACAUAAUUAGAUACAAAACAUAUUAAAAUUAAAUAUAAAUCUCUUUAACUUCGUAUAUUAACAUAUCGUGUGUAAAAUUAUCAAGUUUAUAAAUUGCCGUAAAAAGUAGCUGUCUUCGAAAAAGUUAUGAUGUCUAAUUAAAUAUAUAUAUAUGGUUUAAACAUAGCCCGCGUCUGGCCUUUGACCGAAAAAUAAUUCAGUCCAACAAGCUUUGUGGACUUUCUAACUUGAUGGGCCUGCGGCUGAGGCUGAGGCUGCCUUAUUUGAAUAUAAGUAGUGCCAGAAGUUUUACAAUUAUUGUUAAGCAUAUUAAGGUACAAUUUGUCACUGUAAGGCACAGAAUACUUAUUUUCGGUCAAUGGCAGGACUUGGGCAGAAAAGCUUGAGAGUCAAGACCCACACUUUCCUCGCUAGUCUGCCUGGUUUCAUCCAACACAAUAAUGGCUCCAAUAGCUGAAAAAGUAAGCUAAAAAAGGCCAGCUUUCUUGCAUUAUUCACCCGCAUCAAUUGACCAAUCAAAAAUCAAAAUUAUGUUCGUAUCAAUGUACCGUACUGAAUUGAUAAUUAUAUUAAUGUGCAUUCUAUUAAAAAUAGGUUUAGAAAACCAUUCCAUAGCCCAAAAAAGCAUGCAAUUUGAGCAUCACCAAGGUGUUAUGAUUUGUCAAAUUAUUAAUCAGCCAUGUUAGUUUCCAAUGGACCACCCUCGUUUUCACCCUUUAUCAUCAUGUCCUUUCACCAUUAAAGCAGCAGCUGAAUUUGACCUAUAUCUUACGACCCCACCACCUCAACGACUGAACCCCCAUCUCAUUGACUCGGCACAGAAACAAGAAACAAAACAAUUUAAUUAAAUUUUAAUUUUACUUUAAGCACCGAUUGGCACAAUCUCAACUAAUCUACCAUUUUUUUUUUGUUUUCCAUUCGGAAAAAUACAAAAACAAAUUUACAUUCAAAGCCCCCCCCUCAACUACUACUCCAAAUAUUACAAAAGUCUACGUCCUUCUCUUCCUUAAUACCUUUUUUUCUUUUCUCUCUCUUUAGUUUGUUUAUCACGUUGACUCGAAGACCAGUCCCACCCCAGGAGCCACGUUGUCCUGCAUCGCGGGUUGAGAGUGGCGGUGCUCCCCUUCGUAAGUUACGAUCAACAUAGCCGGAUCAUCCGGGGCUCGCUCCACGUGUUUCCUCGCUGGGCAUCCUCUGAUGGUACUGCACUUGUAAUAUCCCCUGAAACAGUCGAACAAAAAAUUUCUCAUCUUAAAAACGGAUCCUAGAUAUCAUGUAUCAUCUUUAAUUUGGACUUAGGUAAUGAAGGACUAUGGUAGUUACCGUGGGUACGGUGAGCCCUUGAUCGGCUUUUGCCCGUACUUCCUCCAGGAAAAUUCGUCCGGUGGAAUAUCGGCGAUCUUCGAACUGAUCGCUGGAACUCUGAUAACUUUUUUCACACGAUUCUUCCUGAAACAUUAAGAACAAAUACAAGAGUUGAGCAAAAUAAUGUCUGUCAUGCGCAGCAAGCGCUAUCGUGAGCCGUGUGCGUACGGCAUCGAAUUUCUUUCUUGUCCUAAAGGGUCAAAGGUUCAACCCGGAAGAAAAGUCUCAAAAGCACCUAAUAAGACAAAACUCUGGUGAUACCCCAGUUUAGCCUUGUCAUUAUCACGCGUGCUAUCUGGCGUUUAACCUUUAAUCCCUUAACUGUUCAACGACCCCUUACGUUGACCUACACCUUGCCAGAAUCGAGACGAGUCCAGCUAAACUCGGACGUUUUAAUCCUGACUCGGGGCGGUUUUCAAUAGAACUCGACCUAAGUUUUCUGAGCUAACUCACACAGUCAAGCUAAACUUAUUUAAUUUUUUUAAAAAGCACUUCGUUAUGGCAUCUAAUGAAGUCAGGCACACAACGUUAGUCAAAAGCUAAAGCUGUGACCGCUACAAUAUGCCGUAAAUUAAGAACAGUAGGAAAAAAUCGUACUACCUUCGCUUUGAGCAAUGGCACUUGCCGUUGCCGGACCCGGAGAACUUGCCGGAUAAGUCCUCGGAGUGGUCGUGUUCGUGGCACCUCUUCUUGUACGGAGCCGAGGAGAGCGGUGGUUUUCCCGCGGAAACGGUCGGUGCCGGCGCCAAGAAUAGAGAGGAUCCUUGCUUCCCGUUGGAAACGCUGCCGUCUCCGGUGAUGGCAGAAGACAUAAACGAAGAGUUCGACGAAACGCUGAAGCUUUCUUUUGUGAACUCCAACUCAGUGCUUUUAGUGUUGGAGCUGAACAAACUAGGUUUUGUAAAGUCGAGCGUCAAACUGUGUGUCUGCGAUUGGACGAAACUAGCGGGAGUGAUCACCGGAGCAGCGACUGGCGCCGGAUUUAUAGUCGCUGAGGUAGCAGCCGGAGCCGGAGUUAGAGCCCGAGUCUUGUGGGAAUUAGGAACAUAUAGAGCAGCAGAGGAUGAUGAUGGGGAAGACGAGGAAGAUGAGGACUGAAUCGGUCCUCGUCUGAACCGGGCGUGACCGGUCCUGUUGAGAAGCGAGAUGACCUUCUUGAACUUAGAGACGGUGAUGUCGGCCAGGUCCGUGCAGUCGACUUGGUUUGACUGGUGAGAAAGGAGGCAGAUCAGGUGCUCCAUGCUCUUCAAGCCUUGCGAUGCAGCCUCUUGUAUGGCCUUCUGAUCAUCCAUCUUCGGAAAACUGAUCAGAUCCACCGCCAUUUUCACAAAACAACGACGAAAUGAAAGAAACACGGAAAAGAAACGUGCAGGAAAGACACCCUAAAAGCUCAACAAGUCAUUGAAAGCCCAGAGGAGGUGGAGGAGCGAUGAGGAUGAAGGGGGAAGGAGGCAAGUGGGUGGUGGGAGGGCAACGGGGGGUAAUAUAAGGGUGAAAUGGUGACCGGGUGACCGGGUAAGAGUCAAAGUGGGGAGUUUCGGUCCAACGGCUGAGAUUUGUUUGAAGAUUUCCGCGGAAGGUGGUUGAAUAAAUAAAUGGGGGUCUUGUCUCUCCAAAUGCUGGGUGGUGGGCCCCUACGCGGGAGAGAAUAUGAGGUAAGAUUUGGUUUUGGUCCAAAAGAAGUGAUUAAGGGGUUUUGAAUUUUGAACAAAAAACCAACUCAUCAACAACGUUGACGAGACUGCAACAAAACGACUGUCUCUCUGUAACAAAAGUAAAAGAAACGACACUGUGGUUAGAAGCUAUGUUUAAUUUUUUUUUCAAGGAAUCUCUUUUAUUAGCAAGUCAAAUUUACUUUUCAAAUCAAAUUUGCUACUUGCCGUAUUUGACUUUUAUUCUAAAGUAAAAAGAAACUUAAAUUUAUUCAUUUAAACGCAUCCAAUUGAAAAAUGUUACACGAUGAAAAUUAUUUUGGUCAUAGUUAUUAACAUUAGAUUAAAAAUUUAUAUUUUUUGAAUUGGAAUUUCAAUUGGGUUUAGUCAAAUAUCAAAAUCUUCAUUAAGCAGACAUAAUUUCGGUAAUUUAGUUGAAUGGGUAAAUGUUUACUUAGAAACAUUAGCAUUGUGAAGGUUUUCAAAAUUUAUGUUGACUGAAACGCAAAAUGUCUUUCUUCUAGAAUCUUUAAUUCCCAAUAAAGAUUGCAUUGACACACUUGAACUUCCAAUUGAACGAUAAAAUAAAAGAGAGAAAAAUUAGUGUAUUAAUAACUUCAAUUACUAUGACUUCUGUCCAACAAAAGGUACCUUUUGUUAAAGAUUUUAUAUCAAAAAUUAAAACAGUAAGGACAGUUAAUAGUUGUAACAUUACUUGAUCAUUGAGAAAUAAGCACGGUACUAAGUGUUAAUUUUAAAAUAUUUAAACUUGCAUUUGUUUAAAAUUUAUAUUUGAAUAUAAUUAAAAUUUAAAACUUGAUUAUUAUUUGUAACAAGUUGAACACGAAUUUACAUUCAAAAUAUAAAAUAAAAGUAUCGAAUUCAAGUAAUCAACAGCUUAUAACCAUUACCCCAAACUCAUUUCGAAUAAUAAAAUAAUGUAAGAUAGCGAAUUAUAAACUAAUCCAUAGUAUCCUUCCCUUGAAAGGGAAAUUACGUACAAAACGACAGGGAAACAGUAAAAAUUUUGAACGAAAGCUGACUGAAAGUGGGGAUCACGUGGAGGCAUUGUCCCUUUUUUAAUCUGAAAUUGUUGACCAACUUUUCUUUGUCCAUGUAAACCGGGUGAUGCCGGUUAACCCUGGCGCAGACCGUUCGAUUACCCCCCAGCUAAUCCAACGGUUAUUUAGCUCAUGAAGGAGUUGACUAAGCCUUUAAUUAAUUCUUUCGAGAACCUCGAAGUGCUAGUGCUAAUGAGUUAUGCCACGUGGCCGUAAUUUAAUGAGUCAUGAAAAUUAGCUGGUGCCAAUUGAAAGAAGUGGAAGAUGAUAGAAAGAGUUGAGUAUCCAGUACUUAAAAUUAAAAUUUUAAUUAUUUAUGUUUCAAUCAAAUCUCAUUAAAAACUAAUAUUCGUAAAAGUUUAUAAUUGAGUUCGAUAACAGAUACCUUCCGAUCAUUAUUUAAGCCCAUGAAUAAUAAUUUCAUAAUUUAAAUUUUAUUCAAAUAUAAUUAUAAAAUAUUUUAAUUUUAUUUAAUAAGACAAUACAAAUUAUUAUCGAAUUUUAUUGAUAAUAAAAUCAUAGUUAGGCCGUGCAAAAGGGUUGUCUUCUUUUCCUCUAAAAUCAUUAUAAGGCAUCUUAAUAACUUUGAUUAACAGUGCCAACCAAUUAAAUCGAACAACUUGCCUAUGAAAUUUUGACUUUGCUUUCAAGCAUUUUUCUCUCUUGUCAAAGUCCACCAUUGUGGUAUUAAUAUUAACAUGAGGGUUGACCACAAACCAAGUGAUUAACUCAAUAGACCAUAUCGCCAUUCUUUUUCUGGAAUUUUGAACCUUGACAAAUUAAAAUUCCAAAAAUAAUAACGUUGACAUAUAAUUAACACAUGAAAAAAAUUACCAGUACUCCAAUGUUUUAAUAAAUUUUUUUAUUAAAUUAUUCAUUUAAUCACUUCAUUAUUUGAAAGUUUUCAUUUUAUUCAUUCAAAACUAUGACACACACGAUAAAUAUAUAACCACAUGACAAAUGAGCCUAUAUAAAUAUGAUUUGCAGUUAAAGUUUAUAGACGUGAAAAGUCAUAUUAGAUACAUUAAAUAUUUAUUUUUUAUUUUUUUUAAUGAUUAAACAAUCAAAAUAUUAAUUUUAAUGAAUUUUAAAAACCCAAACAUGGUUUUUAAAAAUUGAAUGAUCAAGAUAAAAAGUUAAAAAAAUGAUCAAUUGAGACAUUUACUCUACGUCUUCACAAUAUUUAUAGUUUUUUUUUUAAUAUUAUAUGAAUUAAAAGGUUUCAUUCAUUGGUACAUUAUUAUAAAAAAGAAAUAGUUUUUGUCCCAAUCAUGAAACAUAGCUGGUCACUUUAGAUUAAAUGACCAUAAGCAAUUAAAAAUUCUUUAUAAUUUUUAUACAUCGUCAACUCUAAUAUUCAACAUAACUUUCGAUUUACGUAAUUUUAAAUGCUUAGCACGUACUAUUUUUUGGAGUUAAUUAAAUUACUCUAAUUGACAACAAAUAUAUAAUAAACGUCUCUUGAUAUACAAUUUGAGGUGAUUCGUGUUAGGAUUUGAUUCUUCUUAAAUAUGUUAAGGUCAAUGGAAAAAAAGAGAUUCUCCAAUUCUUUUUCAUUGUUUGAAUUAUUCGUGAAGGUGGGUUGUUUUAUUGGUAAAAAAUUCGUAGCAUUUUGUCAACUUGUUCCAUUUUCAUCCCUAGAUAAAUGCGUGAGAUGUCAAUUUUUCGGUCGUUGUUUAUUCGUAAUUUGAAAAAUAAUAUAAAUAUCAAGUUUUUUUGUUAAACAAAAUUCUUAUUUGAACCCUUAUAAUUGCCUUAUUCAAUCUAGAUUGAAUUUAAAUAAUUUCAGUCAAAAGAUGAAAAAUCUGCAAAACCUAUAUUUUAAACUUUGAGAUUUGUAUAUCAAAAUUUAAUAUAAAAUAUAUCAAAAUAAAAUUUUUUAUUUCAAUUUUCGUAAAAACAAUUACCACCAUUAUAUAUAAAUCUCGAAAUACACAAGUCUACAUAGACCGGCGUUAACUAGGCUCGUGGUAAAAAAAAAAAAAAAGCACACCAACAAGAUUAAUCUUUCAUCCUCGAUUUUUUUGUUUAUUUCACCAUGUUAAAUUAAAUAAUAUACCACUUGUUAUCUCUUAGCUAAGAACCAAUUGCAUAUUAGUUUGACUUUAAUUAAAUAAUAGUAAUAUUCGAAAUAAAUUUAAAAAAAAAAAACUAUAGUUGGCGUCACUAAGCACCAUUCUAGAAGAUUUGGUUGAAGAUUUGAUUCCUUUAUGUGAAUCCGAACAACUUGGCCAAUCAAACAAACACCGGAUUUCAUUAAAUCUGUGAUGCUCUCCUCCUCUUUUAACAGAAGACCAAUCCAUUUGUUGUUAAGGUGGAGUAGUAAUUUUCUUUUAUUUUUUUAAUGAAGUCUUGACAAAUUUUAUAAUUUCUGUACUUCAAAGUCAACUCAAAACGAUUGACGAUGAAAGAGUCCACGAAGCAAACCCAAAUUCAUGAAUAACAAUUGCCAUCAUCCACACAUUCAUUGCACUCGUUAGAAUUUAGAUUUAUAUAUGUAUAAUUAAAUUUUUCUUUAAUUAAGAUGAUAUAAAUUCUCGAGUUUGAAUCUUAGAAGAACGAUAAUUUACAUGUAAACUUAUUAAUCAUUUAUCAUUUCUUAAUUACCGUUAUUAGCAUUGAUACAUUCAUUACAUUCGUUUAAACUUAAAUAUAAUAUUUAAAUUUUAUUUUUGUAGCUUAAUAUGUGUUUCUUCCCUUUUAAAUAAUUUUUUCAAGUGCCUAAUUACGACUAAACUACACAAUGCUUUGUUAAUCUUUCUUUUACACUUGGAUUCACGUGCCAAUCUAUUUUGCUUUCAACCUUUCUUCUAUUCAGUUUUUUUUUUUCUUGUUUAACUCGUUUUUAUAAUGCACGAGGUUUGAUUUCUGACUUUGACUUUCUGGGUAUUCACGUGCCGUGCACCAGGGCAAUAGGAUGCCAUGGGGGAAACUUUUAAUUGUGGCUGUGGAAUAAUAGUGGACUUUCGGGGAACCCCCUUUAAAGUUUUAGAUGCUUCCACUUUUAUAAUUCAGAGAACAUGUGUGGCAGGUUUUGAUUCCUUGUGUACAGUGCCAAACAAUUUCAAAUUUGAAAGUUACUUGGACGUUACAGUGUUAUCAUGUCACGGAUCAAGAGAGUUCGGCGCAAGCUUUAAUGUCAUAACCGACAUUAAAUUGUAAAGUAUUGUCUUUUUAAUUUAUUGAGAUUUAUAAUUUUAUUUCACAAGAAAAUAUUUCACAAGUUAAAAAUAAUGUGAACAUUUAAAUAUUUAAUUUAAUUUUAAUAUAUAAAUAAUGUAGAAUUCAUUUUAGAACUGUGACACAUAGGAUGUACUCUUCAAGCACUUAAUAUCAGUCUUAUUCACACCUCAAGAUUUGGGUGCGGGUUGGGACGACGAGAUCAUGGUGGUAUGAUAUUCCACUUGCCCAAAAGAUAGCCAUAAAAAUAUGAUAAAUUUUUCUUGCAUGUAAUAUAUGUGUUAAAUUCGAAGUGUUUGGGAAAGUCAAGUAGCAUGCUCGAUGAGAUUCUUAAUCCCCUAUAGUAUAAUAUAUAAUGUCGUUAUCUUUUUUUUUUUUAAAUAAUAUAAUGUCAGUACUUGAUUCUAAUAUUUAAAUGGGUUUUUGCUUUAGUGUCUUACACUGGAAGGAAUGGUAGCCUGCACACGAUCUUUGUUGCAAUGGAAAACCAACUUUGAGAUUGAGGGGAUGUUAGUCUGCACAUAUUUCCUUUUGGGAUCACAUGUGUACACAAAACACUUUAUUAUUGUUCCUUGAAAGGAAAGGAAACAGAUUAAUUACCAUUGUCGUUAGCAUCCAUCUUUAUAUUUUCUAUAAUUGCAUUCCAAAAAUAUCUAACAUUAAGCAAGGGUUAGUUAAAUUUGACAAUUUUAAAUGAUACGAAGUUAAACGAUUUUGGAUUUAAAGUUUUUGUGACGAUUUUGUAUCUUAAAUAGAUUAAACACAUUUAAUUUGUACAUGAUUCGUAUAAUUUGUUUAGUUAAUUGUGUUUUUGUGUCAAUUUAGAUAAUAUGACUUACAUAAUCUCUAUAUGAUACCUAUUUAAAUAGGUUAAUUUUUUUAAAAUAAAUUUAUUUUAUUGUAUAAAAUUUAAUUCGACUUGUUUAUUAAUGAUGACAAUCGUGUCAUAUAGUGUAACAAAUUUAUCCUUUUACGUGUUUAGAAUGUCGAUCUGUUUAAUUAAUUAUGUCAUUUUUAUGCUUAGUUAUAAAAUUAUUAAUAUCAUACUUAAAUACAACAUGAUUAUAACACGAUAAUAUGCAUUGUCGGGCCUAAGUAUAAUUUCGAGUUUGGACCUUUUAAAUUGCGAAAGAUUGGGCUUCCUAUCUAAUGGCUCGAUCACAAGCCCCCAAGGUUGCAGCCCCUUUUAUUUGUCUGUUAUGGGUCUUUAAAAAUUGGGAUGACAGCCGUUUAAGAGACGGACAUGGACCGUUAAUAACCCAAGUCUGAGACAAAAUUAUGGCAAAAGAUUGAGCGACAUUUUUCUUGAACCACAGACCCAUAUAAACAAAAGGGGCCUGUUGGCUACGGGCCCCUUUUUGCCGAUUUACCAUGUCGGCCUGGGUUUCAUUUCACGUUAGCAGCUGAUUGAAACAAACAAGGCAGCGAUGAAAAUUUGCGGAGUAGGACAUUUCACCUAUACGCAGGAUUGAGAAGUUUGCGUUAGAUCUAAGUGAAUAAACUACACGCCCACGACACGAAUACAAGCAACGGACAAUUUGCUCGGCCAAACUUUCUUCAGAAACAGAGCAAAUUUUGGCACCAAACAGCCUCAUUCACGGCGCCAGGUUCUCGACCAGAUCGCUGCAAUUCAAGGUAUUUGCUACUGCAAAUCUUUUCACCGUUGUUCAUCGUCAACCCUUUUGCCUUUUCUGUGAUUUUUAUUGAAUUGGGACUGGAAUCUUUGGGUUGUUUUCUUUUUUGAAUAUUGGGAUUGGGUCUUUUGAAAAAUGGUGGGAAAAGGAAAGGCAAAUUAAGUUAUUCAUCUUGUAUUUUUUUCCCCGUGAAAUUACAUAAGUUUGUUGAAAACAAAAUGACCCAGCAGCUAUUUGGUGGCCUUUAUGUUUAUUUAUUUGAUAAUAAUAAUCGUUUCUAGUUUAUUAAUUCGUGUUUGUUUGUUGCGGGGCGUGGUUAAGGGGGAGAUCCUGAUGGUAAUUGAGACUUGGCCUUGAUUUCUUAAGGGGUCAGAGUGGGGAGCAAAAACGGAGCGGAUCGGAUGGACAAGAACAAGAGCCGUACCGAUCUGCUCGCAGCUGGACGUAAAAAGGUUUCCAUUAUUUACUCUUUCAUCUCUGAUUUUGGCUGUUGGCCUUUUUUCCCAACAUACUCUGUUUGUCUGGUUAUGUUAUUUGUCUUCAACCAUGAUUUUUCUUUAAGGCCUGGAAUGCUCUAGUUCGUGCUUAUAGUUCACCAGCAUGUUUUAAGUGCUUUUGAAUUUGCCGUUGAUUCCUAAUGUUACUUCAACCCUUGUUUUAUUCUUUUGCUAAAGAAAAGAGUGGAAGAAAACCAAAAUCUUUGUCUUCGUUAUUCUGAACCUUAAGUAGGGGGUUAGCUGUUUACUUUCCUUUAUUUUCUUAACUUGAGCAAAUCCUUUUCCUUUCUCCCUUAUGGGAUGCAAUGUCUUUGUCUUUUUGUUAGGUAAUAGGAUUGAUUAGAGUUUAAUUUUAUGUUAUCUUUUAUCAGCUUCAACAAUAUCGCCAGAAGAAGGAUGGUAAAGGAAGUAGCAGUAAAGGAAAGUCUUCCAAAAAAUCAAACAAAUCUGAGCAGCAUGAAUCUGAUGCUGAUGCUGCAUCUUCUGUUGCCAAACCAACAGUCUCAUCACAGGUCUCUGAAGGGGAAACUGCAGAUGUUGACUUUUCAGUGUCACAGUCUAUGGAGAGUUCACUGCCUUCUGGGCUUGACACUGCAGCAGUUGUUACAUCACUGGAGCCCAUUGAAUCUGAGACAGACAAUGUCGAUACUGUAUUAGCCCAUAAUGGUGGAUUACCCAUUGAGGUGAUAGCCCCCGGUGAGCAUGAUGUUGAUUCUUCAGUCCCUAAUGGUGGGGAAAGUACGCAGAGUGUUGAUAGUGAGCUGUGCACAGAAAUAACUUCCUCAACUGCAGACAUCCCAGUUUUUGAAGGGGAAACAAAACAUGAUGAUGCUCCGCAUCCAUCUGCUUCAGUUGGUGCCACAGAAGGGACAGUGGUUAAACUUGAUGUGGUAGGUGUUAAUGAGGAAAGGGGGCAGAACCCACUGCUUUCAGAAGAUGAUUUUCCUGAUAUGUCCUUGUCUCAAGCAAGGGGAGAUCAGGUAACAGAUCUAGGUUGUGCUCUCAUUCCCUUGACAUAUGUUUUUAAUUUUUUUCUCUAAUUCUCUGUUAGGGGAUUGAUUUGGGCUAAAUUGGGAUGAGUUAUGUGUGGGUUGAUGUAUAAUUAAAUUCUCAUUUGUUGCUGGGUAGGGGCAAUGCAGGAAGCUAAUGGUAUGGGGUUGAACCAAUUUGAUAGAGGCGGUGAAACAGAGUUUGAAGUUGAUGGUAGAUUUCCUUCGUCUGAGCAUGGUGAAUGUGCUGAACCUCUCGAAGGGGCAACUUCAGAAGUAACUAGAAUGGAUGGGCCAUCCAGUGAGGCAGAGCAGGCCAUCGGCAGAGAUGAUGCGUCUGUAUUUACUGGGGCAGCCAGCAGUUCCCAAGCAGAUGGAAGUUUGGCUGUGAGUCCUCAGAUGAAAAAACUGGCUGAAGAUGUAAUACCCUGUUCACCUGUUGAAGAAGAACAAGAAAUAUGCUCUUCAUUUGAUGCUAUUGGUGGUGAAAAGACUGCAGAAGGAAAUCAGCAAUAUUUACCAGGGGGCUCCUUUGUGUCUUGGGGUAGAAGUCAUGAAACAUCUCUUCAGACAGAAGCGGCAAGUUCAUCAGAUCUGACUUUGUUUCUUGCCAGGGAUGGUUCUCUCAAACUCUCUCAGCUAGCAGAGGUGAUAAGAGGUCUUGAUGAAGAUGAAUAUAGGCUUCUGCUUAACUCUCAAGAAUUGGUUUCCAUUGCAAAUGUUGGGACUGAUACUUUAGCACCAUCUUUCCAUCCAGAUUUAUUCGAGAAAUUGAAAGAGGAAUUAUAUCUCACAAGUUUUACGAAAGAUAUAUUUUAUUUACAGCUUUCUGAGCAGUCAGAUCUGCAAAUGGAAUCUGAUCGGCAUUGUCAUCAGCUUAUUGAUGAAAUACCUGUGCUUCGUUCUUCCAUCAAUGAGGUUCACAUGAAGAACGCAUGCCUUGUAGAAGAGCUAGCACAAUGCAGGUCUGAACUCCAGGUUUGUGCUAAUGCAAGGGAGGAGCUGCAAAACCAAUUUCAUACUGCAUUGGCACAGGCUGAGGAAUUUUCUGCUAAAGCAAAUGAGUUGCACGUUAGCCUUGUAAGGUCACAAGAGGAUUUAUCGAGCCUCUUGUCUGAAUUAGCUGAUUACAAGAAUCUGGUGGCCGCUAUACAGGUGGAUAAUGAUAACUUAAAUAGGACUCUUCAUUCGCUGACUGAGGAGAGAAAGACACUUGCAGAGGAAAAGGAAUCUUCUCUCCAUGAGAAUGAAAAACUGUCAAUGGAGUUAGCUAGAUACAAGGAUUUGGUGGUCACUUUUCAGGAGGAGAGUGAACAGUUAAAUGUGACUCUUGCUUCGCUGACUGAGGAGAGAAAGGCACUUGUGGAUGAGAAACUGUUGUCUCUUCAGGAGAAUGAGAAGCUACUGGCGGAAUUAGCUGAUUGCAAGGGCUUGAUUGCUGCUUUACAGGUGGAACAUUCUGACAUAAGUAAGAAUCUUGCUCUAAUGACAGGAGAGAGAAUGAAGCUUGAAGAAGAAAAGGAGCUUCUUGCAUGUGGGAAAGAGAAAGCAGCUCUUGACUUGGAAGAGUGUAAGGGUUUGCUUGCUGCUCUACAAGAUGAAAAGUCUAACUUGAAUGGGAACCUUACUUUAGUUACAGAGGAGAGGAAGAAGCUUGAGGAGGACAAGGAGUAUCUUUUCCAUGAAAAUGAGAGACUUGCUUCUGAGUUGCUUGUUCUCCAAGAGCAGUUAACUACAGAACGUGAGGAACACAUGCAACUUGAGGCUGAGCUAAAAGAAGUAACAGUGCGCCUAGAGCAGUUAAUGGAGGAAAACAGUUUUCUCAGUGCCAGUCUGGACAUGCAGAAGGCCAAGAUUGUGGAAAUUGAUGGCAGGGAAAACCGGGAUGUUGAAGCUGGGAGUCAAGUACAAAGUUUGGAUGUUGGUAGCAGGGUCCAAGAAAAUGCAGUUGACAAUGAACAUUCUUGCCAAAUCCCUUCUAAGCAAGAUCCUGAAGCUUCCGUUGUGGUAUUGGAGAAAACCUUACCUGUUGAUGUCGUUGGUGGGCCAUCACUUGCACUGCUUGAACAGGAAGUCUUUGAUGAUUCUUCUGGUUUUCUAGUCUUGAAGGGACACUUGAAGGAGGCUGAGGGAAUAUUGCAAAACCUUGAAAAGUCAUUUGAACAGAUGCACUUUCAUUCAGCCUUGUUACAGCGCUCCAGCAGUAAAUUGGCUGCACCAGGAGUAUCGAAACUGAUUCAAGCCUUUGAGUCAAAGGUCCAACAUGAUGAGCCUGAGGUUGAGGAAGGAGAUUUGACUGAAUACAAAUCACUGGCAGAUCAAUUUAAUUCAACAAAAGAGGUAACAGAAAAUUUGAGAGCUGUGCUUAAGCUCUUGGGUCAGGAUACUGAUAAUGCUAGUGCACUUUAUAGACGUGAGCGGGAUUGUAGAAAAUCUGCUAAUUUCACAUUUGGGGAGCUCAAGGUUCAACAUGAAGCUUUGAAGGAUUACGGUGACAAUCUUGAAGCAACCAACAUUGAGCUGGGGAUUCUGUAUGAAGCUGCUAAGCAACAUGCUUUUGCAAUUGAAGCCAAGAAUAAUGAACUUGAGGUUCUUUAUGAAGCUCUAAAGUAUCAAGAAAGUAGCCUCAGUUCAGAAAAUGCGGAGCUUGGUGAGAAAUUGAGCGAGUAUCAUUUGAGAAUUACUGAAAUGCAGAGUCACUUUUCUGAUUUACAGCAAAGGUCAGAUGAGAUGGCUUCUGCUCUAAAUCACCAGUUGGAAAGUUUACAGAAGGAAGCAGCUGAGAGGGCAUUGAUGCUUGAACUAGAAUGGAAAUCUACAGUUACUCAGAUUGUUGAAACAGUCAGGAGGCUUGAUGAGUCUAUUGGGAGAGUCUCCAACUCCACCUUCUCAAAUAACAGCAAUGAUCUCUUGGAUGUAAAUAGCCUGGUCACUACUUCUGUUAGUUUUGCCAUUAACAUAAUCCAGGAUCUGCAAGAGAAACUAGAAGCUGCUUAUACAGGUCAUGAUGCGCUAUCUGGUUCUUAUAAAGAAGUCAAUGAGAAGUAUGAUGAUUUGCUCAGGAAGAAUGAAUUAAUGGUAGGGAUACUAAAUGAGUUUUACAAUGAUCUGAAGAAACUUGUGAUUGAUUCAUGUGUAUUGGUGGGUGAGCCUGAGAUAAACCCUCAAGUUGAGGAGCUGCCUGAUCCCUUAGAUUACAGCAAGUAUAAGAACUUCAUUGAACAACUGGAGUAUGUUUUAGGUGAAAGGCUGCAGCUCCAGUCUGUAACUGACCAACUUAAUUCAGAAUUGAUGAAUAAGACAAGAGACUUUGAGGAAAUGAGAAGAGAAUGCCUUAAUUCAAAUGCCAUUCAAAAGCUUAUAGAAUAUGUUGAGAGUGUUGUAGAACCGGAAAGCAAUGAGACUGACUCAGAUAAAACACCUGGUUCUCGCCUUGAAUUUUUAGUUUCUUUGCUUGUUAAGAAGUACAAAGACAUUGGUGAGCAGGUGACUGAUUGUAGGGAGGAGUUUGGAUCUAAGGUGAUGGAAUUGACAGAGGUGGAGGAAAAGAUACAUCAGUUAGAUGCAUUGAGACUUCAGCGUGAAUUGGAAAUCCUUGCUUUGAAAGAAAGCUUGCGCCAGGAACAGGAAGCCCUUAUGACUGCACGUUCUGAGUUACAGGAAAAAAUAAGUGAACUUGAACAGUCAGAGCAGCGAGUGUCUUCUCUUAGGGAGAAGCUUAGCAUAGCUGUCGCAAAGGGGAAAGGUUUGGUGGUGCAGCGUGAUGGUCUUAAGCAGUCAUUUGCGGAGACAUCUGCUGAACUAGAUAGAUGCUCUCAGGAAUUACAGGUGAAAGAUUCCCAGCUUCAUGAAUUAGAAAUAAAACUGAAGACUUACUCAGAGGCAGGUGAGCGUGUGGAAGCUCUGGAAUCUGAGCUUUCAUACAUUCGCAACUCAGCUACCGCAUUAAGAGAAUCAUUUCUUCUCAAAGACUCUGUACUGCAGAGAAUUGAAGAGAUUUUAGAAGACCUAGAUCUGCCUGAGCAUUUCCAUUCUAGAGAUAUUAUUGAAAAAGUUGAUUGGUUAGCAAGGUCCACCACUGGUAAUUCUUUGCCUCCCACUGAUUGGGAUCAGAAAAGUUCUGUUGGUGGUUCAUACUCUGAUGCGGGUUUUGUCACUGUGGAUACCUGGAAAGAAGAUGCACAACCAAGCUCAACUGUAGGGGAGGACUUGAGAAGAAAAUAUGAGGACCUUCAGAGCAAGUUUUAUGGGUUGGCAGAACAAAAUGAAAUGCUGGAACAGUCCUUAAUGGAAAGGAACCACUUGGUGCAAAGAUGGGAGGAACUUUUGGACGGAAUCGAUAUGCCUUCACAGUUGCGGUCCUUGGAACCUGAAGAAAGGAUUGAAUGGUUGGGAGGUGCACUUUCAGAGGCUUAUCAUGAUAGAAAUUCUUUACAAGAGAAGAUUGAUAACCUUGAAAACUAUUGUGCGUCUUUAACUGCAGAUUUGGAAGCGUCUGAAAAGAGAAUAUAUGAUCUUGAGGUGGGCCUUCAAUCAGUUACUCUUGAGAGGGAGCAUCUUUCUGAAAGAUUGGAGACUUUGACUUCUGAUCAUCAUAACCAUGCAGCAAAGGCAGCUGAGUUUGAACUUGAGAAUGAAAACCUCCAGAAUAAAGUUAGUGGUUUGCAGGAAGAAUUGGUUAAGAGGAUUGAAGAGGAGGAAGGUCUUCUCAAGAUGGAGGGUGAGAUAAGGAGAUUGCAGGACUUGGUUUGUGAUGUAUUACGGGAUCCUGAAUUAAAAGAUUUGGUUCCUGGUGACAGUAGUAUUGCAUGUUUGGAAGGAUUACUGAAGAAACUUAUAGAGAAUUAUACUAGUCUUAAUUCUAUGAAUACUGAACUUGUGAAUAUUGAAAUGGACCAGACCAAGCUAGGUGAUGAAGCCAGAAGCAGAGAAGCACUGACUACUACUCAGGAGGAUGUAGCUUCUUUGAAAAAAGAGCUGGAGGAGGUGCUGCAUGACUUGAUGCAAGUGAAGGAGGAAAGAGAUGGACACUUCAGAAAGCAUCAAUCUUUGCUUCAUGAAGUUCAAGAACUUGAAAGGAAAAGGGAGGAGUUGCAAGACCUACUAAAUCAAGAAGAGCAGAAGUCAGCUUCUGUGAGAGAAAAGUUAAAUGUUGCUGUUAGAAAAGGGAAAUCUUUGGUGCAACAACGGGACACUCUGAAAAAAACCAUUGAAGAGAUGAAUACUGAGCUGGAAAACUUGAAAUCUGAGCUUAGCUACCGGGAAAAUGCUCUGGCUGAUUAUGAAUUGAAGAUCAGGGACCUCUCUUCUUAUCCUGAAAGAUUACAAGCUUUAGAAGCGGACAAUUUGUUCUUGAGGAAUCAUCUGACAGAAACUGAGCGCGUUUUGGAGGAGAAAGGACACCUUUUACACAGGGUAUUUAACUCCAUAGCUGACAUUGAUGUUGGUGUGGAAAUUGAUACCUUUGAUCCAGUGGAGAAGCUGGGGCGAAUUGGGAAAGUGUGCCAUGAUUUGCAUGCAGCUGUUGCUUCUUCUGAACAAGAGUCACGGAAGUCCAAGAGAGCUGCAGAGCUACUGCUUGCAGAGUUGAAUGAGGUUCAAGAGAGAAACGAUGGUCUUCAGGAAGAUCUAGCAAAGGUUGCCAGUGAACUUACAGAAGUCAUGAAGGAAAGGGAUGUGGCAGAGGCUGCUAAACUUGAAGUUCUGUCGCAACUUGAAAAGUUAUCCACAGUUCACUCUGAAGAGAAUAGGAAACAAUAUUCUGAAUUAAUGAUAUUACAAUCUAGUGUAAAUGAACUCAGGAAGGGCUUCAAUGAUAUUCAUAAUCUACUAUCUGAUGUUUCUUCGAAGGACUUAGAAUUUCUGCAAAAUUUGGAGGUUAACAUCAAGUCAUGCUUGGAAGGGGAUGAUGCUCGAGAUGUGGCUGGCUCGCCAUACAUUACAUCCAGCAAUUUAGAGAACAAGGUAACUUUUUCAUGUCCUGCCUUUCCUUUGUGCAUCCAUUUUGGGGUAUGCCUUUUUCAGUAAAUAUAGUGGUUUGCCUCUGUUAUGGUUUCUUUUGUAUUUUCCUUGCAGCCAGUUGAUAAUUAUGCUUGCUGUAUUAUUUUUUUUUUUUGAUAAGCUUGCUGUAUUGUUACUUGUAAUUUUAUUUUAUUUCUUUUUGAUUAGCAUGCAAGUCAUCUGUAUUGAACAAAAACCUCAUUUCACAUUGAGGUAUUUCUUUAAAUAGAUUAUUUUUUUAAUUGUUUCUUGGUUUCCUCUUCAGAACUUUCAAUCCAUGGAUACUUGGUCAGUUACCAAUAUGCAGGACCUUAUGGAUGAUGAUGCUAUAGUCAAAGUUUGCAGUUUAAUCCGGCAUCACUUGCAAGGUUUGAUGACUGAAAUUGCUGCACUCAAAGAAAAGUUCAUUGUGCACUCAAAAUUAUUACAUGAACAAGGUCACAGUAUAUCGAAUGUACUGGGGAUCUUGCACAGAGAAAGAAAUUCUCUGAAAGAGUCAUUUGAAGCUAUGAGGCGAAACAUUAUGCAUAUAGAAUCAAUUGGGAAAGAGAAAGACCUGGAGAUUGUUGUGUUGAGAAGAAACAUUGCCUUGCUUUAUGAAGCCUGUGCUAAUUCAGUCUUGGAAAUUGAAAAUAGAAAAGCUGAGCUGUUAGGAAAUAAUUUGGCUACUGCUGAUCAGGGGACUUACUUGAAGCAUGUAACAUUAGCUGAUGGAGGACUUCCUCUUAGUGGACAAGAUAGUGUUUCAUCCGAGGAACAUAUUAGGACUGUGGCAGAUAAACUUUUGUCAACAAUGAAAGAUUUUUCGAGCAUGAAAGCUGAAAUUGCUGAAGGAAGCCAAAGGGAAAUGAAAAUUACCAUAGCAAACUUGCAGAAAGAGCUGCAGGAGAAGGAUAUCCAAAAAGAACGAAUUUGCAUGGAGCUUGUUGGUCAAAUCAAGUUAGCUGAAGCAGCUGCUACGAAUUACUCGCGAGAUCUUCAAUCUUCAAAAACACUGGUGCAUGAUUUGGAGAAAGAAGUGGAAGUAAUGAGGGAAGAACAGAAGUCAUUACAGCAGAGAGUAAAAGAACUGCAGGAAAGACUCAAAUCACUGACAGACGUGUUAUCAUCCAAAGAUCAGGGUAUGUGUCAUUUUUUGGAUCCUACUUUUAUUUUACCUGUAUAUAUUUAUCAGGUUGGAAUCCUUAUUUAUUAAUGCUAUUUGCUGACAGAAAUUGAGGCCCUCACACAAGCACUUGAUGAGGAGGAGAUCCAAAUGGAAGAGUUGACAAAGAAGAUCGAGGAACUAGAAAAAGUUUUGCAACAAAAGAACACAGAUUUGGAGAACCUUGAAGCUUCUCGUGGAAAGGUUGUGAAAAAGCUUUCCAUCACUGUGAGCAAGUUUGAUGAGCUUCAUAAUCUAUCGGAAAGUCUUCUAGCUGAGGUUGAACAGCUUCAAUCACAAUUACAAGAUCGGGAUGCUGAGAUCUCCUUCUUAAGACAAGAGGUCACUAGAUGCACCAAUGAUGUUCUUGUCACAUCACAAAUGAGCAACAAAAGAGAUUCAGAUGAGAUAUACGAGUUUCUGACUUGGAUUGAGGCAAUCUUUUCUCGUGUUGGGGUACCUGUUUUGCAUUUUGAUACUAAAAACAGUAAGGUGCCUGAAUACAAGGAAAUAAUACAGAAAAAGAUUAGUUCUGUUAUAUCAGAAUUGGAGGACCUACGGGGGGUUGCUCAAAGUAGGGAUGAAUUGUUGCAAGCAGAACGGAGUAAAGUGGAGGAGUUGACACGCAGAGAAGAAACUCUCAAGAAGACUUUGCGUGAGAAGGAAUCCCAAUUAGAUUUGCUUGAAGCUGAGGGAGAUGUUGGUCAGGCUGCUAGUUUGAACUCAGAAAUUGUGGAAGUUGAACCUGUGGUAAGUUAUUUCAUGUGUUUGCAAGUUCCUUUGAUAGCAGAUGGGCAGUUAGGACCUCUUACAGAUCUACUGAUAGGCAAAACUGUGACGUGAGCAAGGAUAACCUAAGUUUUAUGUCAGAAAAUUUCUAGUUUCCUCAUUUCAUUCUGGAAGGAGGAAGUCUUGGCUGGGUUUAUCACACAUACAUAGAUGCAUGAAUAGAGCUAUAGAAGCUCAAUCUAUAAGGCAAAUAUAUCAGCAUUUGACAUAUUAAGUUUCUGCUUAUAAAUUGGACUGUUUUAAUAAAUGAUGAUGAUUUUAAAGUUGACAGUUAGGUAUUUUCAUCUUAUCUGUUCACAAGAAUAAGUUAUACCUUUUGCAGUAUCAACAGCAACGGAAUUUUUAUUGAGUAGUCUAUUUUACUGAAUAUUUGUGUAGAUAAACAAGUGGGCAUUAGCGGGGACCUCCACAGCAUCCCAAGUUCGUAGUUUGCGUAAAGUCAAUAAUGAUCAAGUUGCUAUUGCUAUAGAUAUGGAUGAUGGUAGCAAUAGUAGGUUAGAAGAUGAAGAUGAAGAUAAAGGUAUUCUUUGCUGCUUUCUUAAAAUUAUUUGUUCAUUACUCAUUUAUGCUUCUAGUAAAGAUAAGUUUUAUUUAAAAUUGCACAUCCUUUAGUCCUUACAUUUUAAUUCAUUGUUUCCUCAGUUCAUGGUUUCAAAUCACUUACCUCAUCAAGAAUUGUUCCAAGAUUUACAAGACCAAUAACCGAUAUGGUAGAUGGCUUAUGGUAGGGUUCAUUUCUGUUUUUCAGUUUGUGUUGAUUUGAAGUUGUGCAAAUUUCAUUUGGGCUGAGAGUUUGUUUAUUUAUUUACGCACAAAAGCAGCCUUUUUAUUCAAGUAACUAUGUUAUGUUUAUGAAUUCUGCUAGGGUUUCUUGUGAUCGGGCGCUUAUGCGACAACCUGCCUUACGGCUUGGCAUUAUAAUCUAUUGGGCUGUACUGCAUACGCUGUUGGCAGCUUUUGUAUUUUGACAAGCCAAUCUGGUUAGUGGCCACUUUGUCAGAUGUGUUGUUUCAUAGAGUUCUGGCAUCAUGCGUAGUGAAUAUGUUGAUCUUUAAUCUCCCUGGUUUUUUUAGUCUACAUUUCAGAGUUAUAUGCCUUUUAAUCCUGUUUGAGAUCAGCACUAUUCUACUUUUCCUCAGAUUACAUUUCAUUGAUUUCUCUUAUGUCUUGUUUCCUAACUCCUGUCUUUUCCUCUUAUCCUUGCAUCAUUUCAUAAUCCAAUUUGUGUCCUGUUUCUUACAAAUCCAUGCUUCUCAUACUUGAGUUUAUGGUCUUGCUGUUCUGCAGGUUUUCCAUCUGUUUUUGAGUCAAAGUUUAGCAAGGAGUGCCACCCACGAUUUUUCCUUCAAAUGCAUACUUGGCUCAAUAAUCAUUUUUUAUCUUUCUGAACAUGGACCAUUGAUUCAUUAUUUAGCUCAACCAGGCAACUUUGAUUUGCUGUUUUUAUCUGUAUGCAUCUCAGAUUGCUUGGUUAUGUCCAAUAAGAAAAAAUCAUCGUUACAAUUACAUAGGACAUAGAUUAAGGAUUGUUCACUUUGAACCCAACCAAAGGUUGUAUGAUGCUACUGUAGUUAAAAAGAUUUGUCUACAAGCAACAGAUUUUGUUAGUUAUACACAAACAAGAAUGCUGCAUUUUGAAUGGUGUUCAAUCUUGUACGUAUUCAGCAGAUUUGCAUUACAGUUUGUGCAUAUCUAACCUUAUUUUCCUCUGGUGGCUACUUAUCGCCCUCUCUUCCCCCACCUUUCUCUUUUGUUGGCUUAGUCCUGAAGUUCUGCUUUCAGGUAUUGGAAUCUUAGUGCUUUAAUGGUUGUAGUCAAAUCGAAGAUGGUCUUAACUUGAACUUGUGUCGUACAACUUUUCAACGUGCAAAAACUCUCUAGGCUAUAGAUUCGAUAUGUUUGCUUAUGAUAAAAUGUAUGAAAAAGAAGAAAAAUGGAAGAAUGCUGGUGUUUGGGCUAAACUGAUGACUAGUUUAUACAUAAAACAUAUGAGGUUGAGACAUAGAUAUCACUAAGACCGCACGCAACAUAGAGUGGCUACCGAUAGCAAACUAGAAAUGUUAUCAUUUCUCUUUGGAGAUUGGACAAAAGAAGAAAGAUUCGGGGGGGGGGGGCGCGGUGUGGAGGGGAAUGGGCACAAUCAAUAGAAAUUUGUUUAUGGUUCAGUCACAGUGCACUUGUCAAUAGCCCAACUUGGUCUUCAAAGUCUUUAACGUUUCCGCCCGGAUGCUCCUUGAAUCUUGCUAUCCUAAAAUGCUUUAGCUCAAUUCCUUCUGCCUUUCCAGUAAGCACGAGAUCAGCCAGUAUCCUUCCAAUCACCGGCGCCAUCUUGAAUCCAUGGCCGGAAAAACCUCCACCUAUCACCACAUCCUUCCCAAACUCCCCUCCCAGAAAAUCAAGCACGAAAUCUUCAUCCGGGGUCAUCGAGUACACGCACAAUUGAGUUGCAGCAGGUCCACUUGAAUCAACGGACCCUCUGAAAGUCUCCUCAAUCCAUUGCUUCAAGGAGCUGGGAAUGACUCCAGGUCCCCAUGUCCUCUUAUCAGGGUCGCAAGGAUACCCUCCAUGCACUGCUACUUUGAUCAGCCCUGGGUACUCCAACGAUGGUGUGCCAUACAUGUAUGGCUUCCCAUAGCUAGCGAAUGUCGGAAAAUCACUUUCAAUUGCGUACUUAGCCUCGUGCCCCUCCUUGAUCCUCCAAUAACACACAUUUGUUUCCAGAGGUUGAAUGGGCAGCUCAACCCCACUGACCUUCUUGACUAACUUUCUCAUCCAAGAGCCCGCUGUCACCACACAUUUUUUACCCCAAAACUUGUCACCGUUGCUUGUACUCACUAUCACCCCGCCUUUCACCCCAUCUCUGGUUACACCGUUCACCUCCAUGUUGUCCCAGAGGAAUGCACCAUGCUUAAGCGCCAGCAUUUGGAACAUUGACACCGCCUUGGUGGGCUUGAUGACACCACCAUGCUCGCAGGACACUCCAAUCCAGCCCUCCGGGAUAUCAAUCCUGCCGGAAAACUUUUCGGUGACUUGCUGGCGGUCGAGGACCUGGUGUGGCAUGGACUUCCUUUGGCACGUGGAGAUGACAGCGAGAAGGCUCUUGGCAUCGGCUGGGCCCAUGUCAACGUGUCGGGCCUUGAAGUAGACCCUGAAGCCAAUCUCAGACUGGGCCUGCUCCCACAUCUGAUAGGACUCAUUGACCAUGUCAUGGUAGUAGUCCUCGGGGUACGUUGCUCGGAUGGUGCGGGACUCGCCAUGCGAAGAACCCCGGUGGUGCAGAAAGUCGAACUGCUCCAGCAGCAGAGUUUUCUGGCCUCUUUUGGCUAGUUGGUAUGCGGUGGAGCUGCCCAUGACGCCUGCUCCCACUACAAUUACGUCAAAUUCAUCAGCCGAAUAUCCCAUCUCUCUCUCCCCCUUUCUCUCUCUCUGUGUCUCUCAGUGAUAAGAAAAGAAAUGCUUUAGCGGUUGUUUUCUGCUUGGUUGGAUUGAGAUAUAUACUCCUAGUGGGUAAUUAAGAUGAGAUUUCAAUGUACAGAUCAACCCUUUGGCUGGAAAUUCCAUUAUUGCCAUUCGAUGAUCUGUUUCCCUUCCGAUUUAAUACAUAUGGAGAUAGUUGGCACCUUCACUCCACAGCCAAGAAAAGAAAAAAAAUCAAAUUCUAAAAGCCGAAAACGAUAAGUAUUAGUUGGAUAAUGAAUGGGCUAUAACAACAAAAUGGAAAUAAUUCUUCCAUAGAAGUAAAACUAUUGAAAAGUGAGGAUACUUUGUUUUUAGUUCAAAAUGAAAGCGAAGAAUAUUCGUAGCAAAAAUGAGCAAACACAAGAACUAGACAAGGUAGAGGAUCGUCCAAUUUUGAUCUAACUGAACAGAUGUCAGGGCCAUUUCCACGUGGUACAUUUAAUACUGUACGUCAACAGUGAAGCCAAAAUACCCGGAUUCCCUUCCUGCAAUUUGUCUUUGGCAGCCAAGGAAAUUAUGAUUAUGUUUGGCCAAUCAUCAUGAUCACUGCAUUGGCACGAUUCGAUGCAUCUUCCUUCGGAUUCCCACAUUAAGCUCUGAUGAUAAGAUUGCUUAGUUUGAAACACAACUUGGGUCGUCCUUCAUGUGUUUAUUUCCUUUUUCUCCCUUCAAUUGUCUAAUCAAUUAAGUAAGAUGCAUGUCCAAGAUUGAUAUUGACUAGAAAAUGCUAAAACGUCAGGAAAAUUAUAAUGAAGAAUUUGAAGGCGUCUUGGGAUAUAGAUUAACGUGUAACUCCAAUCCUUUCAGCCGCAAUUAAGCUGGGAAUGGGGAACUUUGUCAGAUGGUGCAACAUGUUCACUUUCGUCACCGUCCAUUUGUUCUAUUCUAUAUAAUCAGAAAACCAAUCUUUUGCUUUCUAUAAUGGCCUAAUUAAACUAAUGCGCCUACCUUUUGCUUUUUGGAAGUGAAGGGUGGAUAUUUUUUUGGGCAUGAAAAUGGGAACGAAAUUGUUUAGCCGACUAAUGAGUGACAAUCAGCCAUGAUUCACGAGGCACUCAGAAUUGUGACAAACGAGCUCUAACCAAUGUUUGGGCAACAGGAAAUUUUGAUUAGUUAGGUACAGGUUAGUAGUUGGGAGUUCUUUGGAUCUUUGGCGCCUAAUUGCAUCACGAAUCACGUGUGUAUAUUUAGAGAGUUCUUCAACAGAUAUGGUCCAGCGUCUGCAUCACCAAGGACAAAUGAAUUUUCAUGUCAUAGCUGACUGACAAAGAGAUCAGAACAAAAGAUCGAGUCAUCCUCCACCACCUAUAGCUGUAUUCAAGUUAACAGUAAUAGAUGAUCCUUCUGCUGGCAAUGGAAUAUUUUUAUUUGGGCACACUGCACGUGUUUGCAAGCUGUGAAUGUCUCUUGUUUUAGAGGAUUUGGGUUUUCGCUUCCAUGUUGGGUCCAAGCUGUUGGCUGGAAAUUAAUGGUCCUUCUUGGCCCCAUCACAAUGGCGGUUGGACGCUGCCUGUGGGACUGUUGUAGGGCAACCAGCAACCAAGCCACUGGCAUAACUAAACUGAUUCAAGCACUAUUUCCUUUUUAUCCAGGAUCAGUUGCACAAAAUUUUAUCCGGGCAUCGUCGAUUGAUGAAAUGACCUGGCGAGAACGUUAAAUAUACACUGCAUUGUGCAAUAGAUGCAUGGUAGUAGGAGCCUUAAGCUUUAGACAGGGAAAAGGCAAUAAAAAAAAGUUGAAAAUACUGACUUUUAAUUGUGAAAUAACAAGGGAGCAUGUGGGCUAAAUGUUAGUCAUUCAGGUGAAUGAACAAUAUGGCCAUAAUUAACUUGAGAAAGAAUAAUGCAAGUGAAGAAAACUAGGAAAAAACCAGAUAAUCUUAUCUUAAGUUUCUGAUCCCUCCAACCUAAAACUGUAGCUAAGGCUCUCCUCUAUUUGAAUGAUGAGUAUUUUAUGUCUUUUUGUUAGGCUUGAAGACAUACUUGAUGAUUGAAUCCUUAAUGGACAACAAUUCGGGAAAUUCUUUCUUUAGCUUUGCUGCAUCCAACUCAUUGUUACUCCUUGGUGCUACAAUCACCUUAGCCUGUUCUUCCAAGCUGAAGUUUUUCCAUUUGAAUUGAGGAUUUAUGUAUGCACUGUACAUCUCUAAGAUCUCGUUGUGGCUUAUAACUCCUGGAUUGGUGAAGUUCCAUAUCCCUCUGCAGUUCCUCUUUGCCAUCUCGAUCGAGAUCAGUAGGAGCUCAUCUAGCACUGUCAUGCUGUUUGGUAUAUUCACCACUUUGUUGUAGCGGGUUAUCUUUGUUAUGAAGUUCCGAGGGUUGCUAAGAUCUGAUGAAAUUGGCAUUCGAACUCUGAGAGUGCAGACAUUGUCAUACUCUUGUAGAAGCUCCUCAACCUGAAAAAUGUAGUACAUACUACAGAUUAAAUGGCGAAAAUAGCUAAAACCAUUGCUGAAAAGUAACAAAAAGGAAAAGUCCUUCAAUGUCACCAUAGCCUUGGUCUUAGAAUAGAAGGAACCGAUGAAGUUGGGCUUAUCUUCCUCUUUGAAUCCAAUGCCUGAUCCUAGUGGAUGCUCUUUAUCAUAUUCGAAAAUACAGCCAGUUGCAAAGUUCAUCAGCAGAAGAUCAUGCUCUCUGCAAACAUCAGCAAGAUUUAAUGUCCCUACUACAUUCGUCCUUAUAGUUUCAACCUUAUGUGAUUCGCACCAAUCAACAUUAGGCCUCCCAGUAACCCCAGCUGCAUUAAACACAUGUGUGGGUUGUACUCGCCUAAUAUCUUCCACAAGUGACCUCCUAUCUUCUAGUCUUCCUCUCCCAUACUCAAAUACGAUAUUCUUUUCUGCGCAAAGAUUUCCCAACAAACCACCAAUCCAACCAGUUCUUCCAUAUAUCAAGAAUUUCAGUCUUGAAGAGUCAGCACAAUCACCUUCCAUUCUAUUUUUGCAAUUUUCAGAUUGUAAGAAAAAUGCAUUAUCAUCGGAAUAAGUCAUUACUGAGAGAUACGGGUGUGGACUGAGGGCAGCAGAUACAUCACCCCACCAAUCAGAGUUACCAGUAUACCACUCCAUCGUCAUCUUUAAUCCUUCCUCCCAAGAAGUCCUUUCUUUCCAGCCAAGCUUCUUGAGUUUUUGAUCAUCCAAGAAGUAUCUCUGAUCAUUGAAAGGUCUAUCUUGAACAAAUUUGAUAGCUUCUUUAGGGUUCAAACCAAAGAGCUUGCAAAUGUCCUCUGCAACGUCAAUGACUCGUCUUUCCCUUUUAGUGCCAAUAUUGUACACAUGCCCUACGACCCCUUUAUGCAGAAUCACAUCAAAAGCCUCUGCAACAUCAUCAGAGUGUAGAUAGCUUCUCACAUUUGUGCCAUUGCCAUGAAUUGGCAACUCCCUACCUUUCAUAGCAAGGAGGAUUAAUUUGGGGAUGAGCUUUUCUGGAUAUUGGUUAGGACCAUAGACAUUAUUGCCCCUAGUAGUAAUUAUUGGAAGGCCAUAAGACCUAUGAUAAGCCAUGACCAGCAUUUCAGCCCCUGCUUUGGUGGCAGAGUAAGGAUUUGUGGGAAGCAGCUGAGAAGCCUCAGGAUUUCCAAUGUCAGUUUCCAUGUCAGUUUCUCCAUAAACUUCAUCGGUGCUCACAUGAAUGAACCUCUUGAUCUGCUUUGACACCUUGCAGGCUUCAAGAAGUACAUGGGUGCCAUAAAUAUUAUUGUUAGUGAAUUCAAAGGAGUUUCCAAAUGAAUUAUCAACAUGGGUUUGGGCAGCAAAGUGCAUUAUAGUAUCAAUAUCCUCGGCUACCAGAAGAUAGUUAAGAAGAUCAGUACAAAUGAUAUCACCCUUGACAAAUUUGAAGUUCGGAGAGGAGAAACAUGGCUGGAGAUUCUUGAGGCUGGAACAGUAGUCUAACUUGUCAAGAGCCACGAUCUUGUACUCAGGGUAGUUAUUGAUCAGUCUACUUGUCACAUGGGAGGCAAUGAAACCGGCUGCACCCGUUAUCAGGAUUUUUUUGGGUGCAUAAGGAGCAGGUUCAGAAGACAUCCUCGGUUUUCUUUCUCUGGUCUCAAUAUGCUAGCACUGCAUAAAGUAUUCCAAAGAAAACAAAAAGAUUCAACAAGAAAUUAUGAUUAAAACAUUGGAUGAGCAAAGGUUAAAUGCAUAAAAGUAUCUAGUGCAACUUCAAUCCUCUCAAAAUAUGCAUAUUUUAUCGGUAAAAUCACUCAAAAAAAGAUACUACAAACAUUCACUGCAUGUACUCUCUACAGAAUGCAGAUAAGGCAUUUAAAUCAUCUUCAUUUAGAAACUUAAAAUGAAUAUCAGAAUCGAAAAUGGAAAGAACCAUAAUCCAACAUACACUGAUCAUCUAAUUCUCCCAAAAAUUGUCAACAACUCUUGCCCGAAAUGAUGCCAUAUCUGCAAGAAGAGCUUUAUCCAAGAUGGUAUUCGAUGCUAUGACAUGAAAGUUCUCUUUGUGGCAAAUCUAAUGUAAAUGGAAAGAAAGAAAGGGAAAAACCAACACACAUGGCAAUGCAUUGCACAAGAAGAAUGUGUCUAUUAUUGGGAGAGGAGCAGAUUCACGUGAUUCGAAAAGAGUGGCGAAACAGGUGAUGGAAGACAUGAUGGAGUGGAAAUAGAAGAAAGCUUGGAUCAAAUCUUGAGUCAUAAGUUCAGGGUUGUUAGAGAUUAAGAAGGUCUCUGACUUUGUGCUAAGGCUACAACUCAUGUAACGUGUUAUUCAUCCCGACGGUCUUCCAGCUUCAGAUCAACCAUGGACGCUGACCUUAUCUUUUAUUUUCCCGUAAAAUUCCAGUAAUUAGAGAAUUUAAACUUGGUUCAUUUAUCCAAAAAAGGAAAAGAAAUUGAAUUUGUUAGAUUUAGGGAUAGAGAUUAUAACAUAUAGUCCUAGAAUAUAUAUAUCAUUUUAUCUUUUGUGAACCUGAAUUUGUUAGAUUUCAAAGCUAGAUUUUAUCUUAUCUCUUCUAUAGAUUUACUCACGGUUAGGUAAUUUAUUAAUAAAAAAAGAAUUCGAACCCUUACUUUUUAAGUAGAGAGAUCAAAUACUAAUCAAUGAACUAAAUACUCAAGUGCUUACGAUUAAGUAGUUUAAUGCUUCAUAUGUUUGUAAAAUGCACCAGAAAUCACUUUGCUUAGCUGCUCAGGUCAUGCAAUAAGCAAAAUUUCAGACAAUGUUUGUGACUAUUUUAGCAAAUUAACUUACACACGUAUGACACUCGCUAAUCAAGACAUAUAUGCAUAGAAAUUUAUCUAAAAUAACUACCAAAAUGCUACAUUUAAUCUUUCCAUUAAACAUGAUUUAUUGAGGGGAAAACUUUGUCUCUUACUGGAAUGACUCUAAAAACUCAACAUUAUGGGUCUCAAAUUACUCUUUUAUUCAUUGAAAACUAACCCAUAUCCAUAACUGUAUUAAGACCUAUAAAAGCAAUUGCAAAAGUCUAUCCAUUGUAUUUAUAUAUUAAAAUAAAAACGAAUCACUUAACAGAUGAAUUAGUGAAGUCAAGUAUUUCGUGUGAAAAUGUUCUUUACACUUCUAAAGAUCUGGCACCAUCAAAUCAAGGCUAGCCCUUUCUUAUGAUUCCUUAAUAAAAAUCCUUACCUUUUAAAAAAAAAAAGUUGUCUCUUACAAAUCUAUUCAUGGGAAAAGUUCAGGCUCAAGGCUGCAUGCCCGACCUGCAUGUAAAACAAAAGAGUAGUCAUUCCAGAGAAGGUAGUAACUUUGUUUUUGACAAAAGGAAAGUUACUUUUAUGGCAUUUUGGAUCCUCUCAAGGCCCUAUAAAAACGUUCCUCUACGUGACCGUUUGAAGCAUCAAAGAAGAGUUCUUACAGCCUUACCAGUGAGUUCUUGAGAACUACUCCUUUAGCUUUAGGUAAAUGGCAUUGCAAGUAAAGAAGACCCUCUUCCUGCUCAUUGCGUUACUAUUAUUUAGUUUGACAUCGGCUCAAAAUUCUGGGAUAGCAACUUACUACACCCCUCCCUACAUGCGUAAGCUUUCGGCAACAUUCUUUCUUAGUUUUUGAUUCUAACUAAGAUGUUCGGAAUCUUAUAUCUAAUGAAGGGUUUUCUUUCUGUUUUAUUGUUCUUGUUGGAGCAGCGUCUGCUUGUUAUGGAUUUGAGGAUCAAGGGGUAAUGAUCGCAGCAGCAAGUGAAGCAAUAUGGAACAAUGGGGCAGCUUGUGGCCAACUCUACCAGGUGAAUUGCCUUAGUGGGACAAAUGCAGGCACCCCAAUGCCGUGUCAGGGGCGUGGAGUGGUGGUGGUGAAGAUUGUAGACCGUUGUCCCGCCGGGUGCAGGGGUACAAUUGACCUGUCACAAGAAGCAUUCGCCCUAAUUGCCGAUCCUAAUUCUGGAGUUAUAAACAUCUCUUACCAACAGUAAGCGCCAUUAGUGUUACAUUAAAAUUAGCUGCUGUCAGUGCACUUAAUCUACAGUUCCUUGACGCUUCAGUCUUCACUACUGCUAUAUUCGUUUUGAUAUGAACAUAUUGAUGGAAUGUGUUUGUACAGGGUUUAAAAGACGAGGUCCUGACACGUAGUGUUAAAAAGAUGGGCACAGCGAUGUGGAAUGAUAAUUUUCUACGCUUUACCUGUUGUUUCGUUUAGUGCUUUUGUAUAAUUUUGUACUAUCUAAUAGUUUAUUUCGUUGAUUUGGCAUUUUUGUACUUGUCUCGAUCAAUAAACAUGUAAGUGGAUUCAAGAUUUUGUACCAGAAAGGAAAUUAAAAGAAACAAAUAUCGCUGUUGCUGAUUUGACUCCUGCAUUUCUGAUAAACACUGGUUGGAGGUCAAUGGUUUGGGCCCCUUGCUUCAACCUGACGAUCCAAAUGAGAAAAUUUGCUUCAUUUAACCAGCCUAAAUGAUAAGUUUUUCUGUAUCCAUGCCCAACCUGUGGGUGGGGUUGGGCCCAAGGGACCUGUCUUUUACCUCUGUCCAGGGGAAAAUGGCUACAUGGUCAGGGGAUUCAAUCUGAAGUCACUCAAUUCAACUUAACAAGGCAUUUCAGGUUAAAAAACCAACAGAUGCUUCUAUUUCUGUCAUGGAACAUUAAGAAAACAAGAAAAAGGCAUAAAGCUUCAUACAUUGGGUUUAAGCUUCAGGCAUAAAGCCAGUAGUCUGUCAGAUCCUUUGUAUAUGGAUACAUACACCAUGUUCAGGUUCCACAAGCAUCCUAAAAGCAGGAGAAUGUCGAUAACUUGGAGAUAGAGAGAAACUAACCCUGGAAACAAUGAGGGAUAGAAGAACCUUCAAUUGAACCAUGGCAAAGUUUUUCCCCAAGCACAGGCGAGUACCUAAACCAAAUGGGAUAUAGCCUUGCGGGGAUUUGCAAGCUUUGGAGACACCAUUGAUGAACCUCUCAGGCUUGAACUCAUUGGCAUCCGGUCCCCAUAGGUCAGGAUCCCGGUGCAAAGUUGGAAUCAGAGUCCAAAUAAAUACACCUUUCGGGACCAAAAUGUUUCCAAUUCGAGUCUCUUUGAGCGCCUCCCUAGACACGAAUGCUGCUGGGGGGUAAAGACGCAUGGUUUCUUGAAUCACCAUAGUCACCUGCAAGGAAUUAAAACACAUGGUUUACCAACUUAUAUGUGGUAAUGAAAACUUUUAGGGAAUCAAAGGAAUAUUGCAGAGCAUGCGUGUACCGUUUUCAAUCGAGAAAUCGAGUCUGCAUCAGGCAGGCCAUUCUUGCAAACUUGAGCCACCUCUGCUUGAAUACGAGAUUGCCACCCUGGAUGCAGAGCCAGUAGCAUCAAACACCAGGAGGCAGUGAUGGCAGUUGUCUCAUGGCCAGCGAAGUAUAUGUUCUUGCAAUUAUCAACUAUGAACUGCUGAGAGGAAGCCUUGCCUACAUAGGCAUCAUUGACAGCGCCCUCUAAUAUUAGCUGCAUCAAAUCUUUUUGACACGAAGAUUUGUCUACACAUUCCUGCUGGCGUCCUUCGACUGUCUCCCAAAUCAACAAUUCUACUUCUCUUUCCAAUGUGCUGAUCUUCUUCUUGGUGGAAAGAAAUCUGCCAAUCCAUUAUUAGUACAAUGCGAAUUGAAAACACUAGUACAAUGCCGAUCAUGAGGUGUGAAAUAUAUAUAUUGGGAUAUUGUACCUUGAAUUAUUGAGCCCAAAGACAAUGCCUGGCUUGUUAAUUAUGGUGGUUUGAAGAGUCCUAAGCUUGGCGAAAAUCUCUUUGCCUUUAGCAUAAGAGCUCCCAAAACAUGCCCUGGCAAUGACAUCGGCUGAAACGCUCCUUAAAUCCCCAUCCACAUUGAUUUCCGCCCGCAAACCGCCUUCUGCUUCAAUGAUUGUUUCCCAUUUUUUCAGCAAUGGCUCUGUUGAUUCUACCAUAAGCCCCACCAUGCCCUGACAGAUAUACCAAAUGGUCCCAACUUACAACGUUUCUACGCCAGAUAAACAUAAAAUAUUUAUGAACGGCUUGCGAAAUAUUACCUUAACCUUGUCCAUGAAGAACUCUGGGGCAAUGAUCUUCCUUUGAUGGGCCCAUAAAUGGCCAUUGGCUCUUAUGACACCAUUGCCGAGCAUGGGUCGAAGAGCCUUGGUCAUGUAAGAAGCCUUGCCCAAAUGCAAAGUAUUCAACUGGUUCAUUUCCUUCACCAGCUCAAGGUCAUUCACGUACAAAUGUUGCCUAAGCCCCGUCGAAUAUGUGUAUAUUUGACCUGCAUCAAUUUCAACUGGGGUUAAUAUUAAUUUUGUAAAUAACUAAUAUAUGCAAAAAGAUUCAUUGGUUGAAUCAAACUUGGAAUUGGGUUUUCAAUUUUUAAUUUUGAUAGUAAUAUAGUAAUAAAUCGUCAUGGUUAAAUCAGAAAAGAAAUUCAAACUCGACCUAAUCUAUAAAAUAUUUUCUAAAAAACCUUUACUCUUAUUUUUAAUUUAACUUCUUCUUAAUUUACUAGUAAAAUAAUGUAUCAUGUGUAGAUGUUGUUAUCACUUGCACACUAUACAAUAAUAAAAUAACGACCGAGGGUAGCUACUUGUUUUGGUGUUGGCAUCUUUGAUGUGGGAAUAUGCUGCUAUAUGCCAAAAAUUAUAAAAUAAAGUUAAAUAAUUAAUAAUUAGCAGUAAAAAUAUUAAUUAAUAAAUGAAGAAUUAUUAAGAGGGGUUCUAGUGUAUUUUAGCACACAAUCAUUGUUUUUUUUUUUCAGAUUAAAUAUUAUUUUGAGUCAUUGUCAUCAGGCUUACACUUAUAUUGAUGUAGUAUAAUAAUAUUCAUUUUAAAUCCAAAAGAAAAGUCUAUAAGAUAGUUUAUUUUAAUCAAGUCUAAACAAAUAACCAAAGCCAGAUAAUUUCAUCUAAAUUUUCGUUGUUUUUUUUAUUUUUUUCUCUUUAAUCUUUACGAGAUUAAAAUAAAAUUUUUGAUUGUGAUAUAUUUUAUAUUAAAAUUUUAAUUUUUUUUAUAAUAUAUGUGUUUUUAAUAUAUGUAUAUAUAUAAAAAAGAAAAAGACAUCAUUUUGGGACAUUUUGAAAAUGAAAGAUGAACAAAGAAAAAGAGAUGAAGAAAGAAUAUAAAUAUUUUAAUUUAUGUUUUUCAAUAAUUUGUUUAUAAUUUUUUUUUGUAUUGAAUUUGUUUGUGUUUAAUACACACUGUAAUUCUCAAUCUGGAAGAAAAAACAAGAAGAUAGCUUUCAGAAUCAAGAAAACAUAACAAGCUACCUAUAUGUUAAGAAAUUGUUUGCUUUCACUUUAAAAUCUCUUUCCGAAUAUUACAAAAGGGAAGAGAAGGAAGAAAACAAAAAUGGAAGACGUCUUUGUUUUGAGCCAACAUUGUACAUUUGGCACUUAGAAAUGGACUGUCAUGCGAGACAUUUCGUAAGAAUGCAAAAAGUUUCAAACAUUUUCCGGGAAAAAUGACCCCUUUCUGUCAGUUUCAACAGAAAGUUGUCUUCCUUGACUGAGAUUUUGACCUUUGUUUAUCUUUCUGUAUGAUCAAAACACACGGAUAUGUAUGAAUUUGUUGAGGAAAUGAUCAAAUACAUGGCUCUUACCGUAUUCCUUUCUCCAAUGAUCAAGAUACGGGAAGAGGGUGGAAGUGUAGUCAUGGCCAACAAUUUCACUGUGACUCCGAGUCUUCUUUGCCUGCAACUGGAUUUGCUGCAUCUCGGCUACAUUCCCGUAGAGAAAAGAAGGAGGAGGCCCUCUGAUGCCUUGCAUGCAGAGCUUCCUUCUCAGCCUUCGAGACUUGAGCCAGCUCUUGCAGUACUGAUGAAAGACGUAGCAAACGACUCCUGCGAGGGCUAGCGAAGAAAGGGUUCUGAAGAGGAGAAGGAAUUCCAUUUCUUGAGUUUAAUUUCUCAAGUACUGGAGGUGGCGGUGGUACUAGCCAAAACUUUUUUGUAUUUGUGUAUGAAUAUGUCUAUCGCUAGCUUAUUUUUUUUAUAGGAUGGGGGAGAUCCAGGUGACAUUAAUGCGAAGUAGAUUAGCGUUAAGCAAGUAGACAUUAACCUACAAACAGAUAGGGACCGGUGGACCAGCAUGAUGUGAAGUAUACAUGUACAUGAUGCUCCUCAAUUCUUCUAUAACAUCCAAUGAAAAAUGAUUGGAGGCCAACAGGGCCAGGAGAGGUCACCUUUGAACUUGACAAGCUGUUUAUCGGAGGGAAGAACAUAUAGAGGUAAAUUCAAUGGACGGAGUAGAGAAAACAAAUUAAGGUAUAUAUAUAUUACGUGUAAUAAAGUCCUGAUUUUACUCAUUUUUUGGAUUUUUGUCUCGAAUAGGACAUUAACCACCUCCUAUCAUUAUUUAAAUAAUUUUUUUUUUCAUUUUUCAAAAAAAUUUAAUAUAUAUAUAUAUAUAUUAAUGGUAUAAAGAGGAAUAUAAGUGAUUAAACCUAAUUAUAAAAUGAACAAGUAUUUUGCAAGCAAAGUUAAUGGAUUGAUAUUUCCCAACAAUAUUUAACUCACUGUGGACGAUAAUUUUAUAAUUUUCUUUAGAGAAAAUUUUCAAAAAAAAAAUUCUUUAGAGUUAUUUGGGGUUGACUUUUGUAUGUCUUGAACAAACGCACAUGCAUACUUUGAAAACUAAAGAUGAUAAAAAUAUUUAGGCUUCAAUCUCUAAGCUAAGUACUGUAAGAAGACCUUGAGAAGUGGUUAUCAAAAGAAAAAUAAUAAUAAUAAUAUAUAUAGCUAGCUGUAGCAAUCCAUGCUUGCAAUCCUGUAAAGUUGAAGUUGAUGUAGGCAAGGACUGGUCGAGCAAAUUAGGUUAAUAUCAUUUCAUUUGGGUUAGAAAGUAAGAAAGAAAUGGAUUAGUCGUCGACAAAUAUAAUCUUACAAUAAACAAAUCUGACCCUUUGGUCAAGUGGCAAAUCUGACUCGACAUUUCUGGUUCCAUCCCUUUGUAGCUUACCAUGCAACGAAAGACCAGGUCGCAUAUACGCAUAAACCCCCCACUUUCACUUCGUAAACCUCAUAAAGCCUGCUUUAGCGGCCGACCGUAUGGAAAGUUUGAUCUCAAAAUCUUGGAACCAGGCCUUGGGUGAUCAUUUCAUUGUAAAGAAAAGGGAAUAUCCUUCUUAAUCACCACCAUUUUCAGGCAUUUUAGCUAUGUAUAAUCGGCCUGUGCAUUGUACAUAACUAUCUAGAAUAUAAAAAUACCAAAGCUUUCAGAGAUUAAUGCUCUCAGACCUUAAGUAUAAAUACAUGGCAUUCCUUCCCAUUUGAUCACCACUCAAACUCACAGGAAAAGCUAGCUUCUUUUUGCUUUGUUAUAAAGAAGAUAUACACUGCAUGCCUGCCAAAGACGAUAUGGCAUUGCCCUAUUUCCGCAUCCUUUCCAUUACCCUCGUUGUUGUUGCUUCCUGCUUAAGUCACCUCCCUUUACUGUCAAAUGCUCAAGAAGCUGGCACUGCGACCUACUACACCCCUCCCUAUACACGUAAAACAUCUCAAAUUAAAACAAAAGUAGCCUCAUUUUUUGCAUUAUAAUUUAUCUUGUGAGUUGUUUUCUUUCUUUCUUUCUUUCUUCUGCAGCUUCUGCUUGCUACGGUUACGAGGAGCAGGGAACCAUGAUUGCAGCAGCAAGUGAUGAAAUUUGGAACGACGGCGGCGCAUGUGGGCAAAUGUAUCAGGUCACUUGUGUUAGCGGAACAAACGAAGGGACCCCGUAUCCUUGCUGGGGAAGUGGGACGGUGGAGAUUAAGAUCGUGGACCAUUGCCCCGCCAGGUGUAGAGGAACCAUUGACUUGUCACAAGAGGCAUUUGCCUCCAUUGCUGAUCCUGAUUCUGGUGUUAUAAACAUCUCUUAUCAACAGUACGUACCAUAUAUUAUACAUAUUAUUAGAUCCAUCCAUCUCCUAAUAAAAAAAAAAAAGGACAUAUAUUUAAAAACAAAAAGAGUAAUUGUUGAUUUGAAUUUUGCAGGGUUUGAAGGAUGACUCGAGAGUACAUUCAUUUAUUAUGGGUGCACCAAUUCGGAAUAAAAUAAUUCUAGCAAUCACAAUUUUGUUCCCCAUUUCAAUGUUGGUUUUGGAUCCACUAAUAUUGCAAGUGGGCAAAUAAAAUUACUAAAGAAUAAAUAGUAUUACACAAAUAUUUUUUUUCUCCCCACUCAUUAGUAACCUUGUUGUGGAAGCAUGAUUUCUUUUCAUGGGAAUUAUAUGAGAAUGAUGAAUAAGAUCUUUGGUUCCUGAAACUUGAAAGAAAGCGCUAUUUGUCGCCCAAUUAUGUAAUUCAAGCAUGCAAAAACCCAAAGUGGUGGGCACCCAUCAAAUCAUGGUAAAAGUUGAAUAUGAUGGAACCCAAUAAUUACUCAUACGAAAUGAAAACCUUAUUGUGGUAACGUAAAAUCUUAGGUUAAAAAUUUUAAUAAGAAGAAAGAUAUGUCAUAAUUAAAGUUCAUAUUUGAUACAUGUUUAAUGUAUAAUAUUUAAAUGUUAUUAUUUAUUAAUAAAUAAAUAUAUAUAUAUAUAUUUGCGCAUUUAACAUCAUGUAUUAAUGUGUAUAGAAACUAUACAUUAGGGGCCUGGAUUAGGGACCUUCUUCCAUUGCAGUUGGUGGUUGUGUCGUGGGCCGAUGGUUUCCAAUGGCUAUUGUAUGGAUGAAGUUUGCAUGCAUAUAUGGUGCAUGGUCCCUCUUUUAGAAAGUUAGGAAUGAAAGUAGAGUAGGACUAAUUAAUGAAAGAAAAGGAGGGGAAUGAGCUGUUUCCAUAGCAGAACAAGAGGGCUGCAAAAUUAAAUGCCUUGUUAGCACUUUCUUUGUUUAUAGGUGGGAGGGUGAGAGUUGAUCAUUCCCCUUUUUAUCUUAUUAGAUAAGGAUGAGUAUAUAAAAUCAAAAUAAUCCUUCAAAAUUGAUUGACUUCUCUUCAUUUCAAUAGAUAUGCUUUCAGUUUUGAUCUUAGUCCAUUAAAAGGGAUAAUCUAUUUAACUAUCUCAAUCCAUUUUCAGUAUUCAAAAUUUAUAAUCGAAUUCAUUGAAAAAUUAAAAAAAUAAUAAUAUAUUUUUUAAGAUAAAUUAUAUAUUAUUAAUGUUUUUAAAAUAUACUUUAUUCAAAUCAAAAUAAUCGAUUGAAUUGAUUAAAAUAAAUUAGUAUAAGUUAUUUUCAAGUUUUUAUUAUAAUUUGAUAUCGUUCAAGAUAAGUUGGUUACGGUUAUUUUCGAGUCUUUAUUAUAAUUUGGCUGAUUAUUUUUUAUAAGAUUUUGAUUAUUUCGAUUUUUAAAAUUUCAAGUUUAUUUAUUUAAGAAAAAAAUGAAAAAGAUUUGGGUCAAGUCAUUGGGCAUUGGGCCUGUUCUUUGAUCAGCCACCAAAAGGCCACAAUGGACCAUAUGCUAUUCCUUGAUGGGCUUUUUUAUUCAUGGCUCGAUAAUAAGAAUUAGGGAAGUUGGUUUCGUUUUGGUACUAAAUCUGGAAUAAAGACUGUCAAGCAAGGGCAGUAUUGGAAUAUUAAGCACCAACCGACUAAUUUCGCCGGUUUUAAAACUUGUUGGUAUAUAAAAAAAAUCAAAAGCCCUAAUUCCCCCAAAAAACAGAAGGCGGAAGCAGCUGCUACGGCCUCUCCUCUUUCCUCCUCUGCGUAACGCACCAGGUUCAGAUCUCUCUGUCUUUCAUUUUUUUAAUUAAUUUUGAUUUAAUUUCUUUUGUUCUUUACUUUAUUGCAACAUUUAAAAAAAAAUUUGUUUGGUUGUUGUGUUUGGUGUUGAACUGAAAUUUGAAUAACGUACGAAUUGUUUGAUAGGUUUUCUUUUGAAUCCCAAAAAAAAAUGUCUCGCGUGUACGUGGGUAACCUUGACCCACGAGUCUCGGAGCGAGAUCUUGAAGACGAGUUUCGUUGCUUUGGAGUUAUUCGAAGGUAGAAGAUCGUCGUACUUUACAUUUUUAUUUUUUUUUGUUUCGUGUUCCUUUGAACUGCUACAUGUUACACUAUAAUUGUCUGUAAUUUGAGCACCUUUAAAGUUUUGAUUUUGUUGUCUUAAUUCCUUCGAAUGCUGUGUUUUGAUUUGCUAAAUGUUUCUCUUUUAUCUUUUUUGUAGUGUAUGGGUUGCUCGUAGGCCACCGGGUUAUGCUUUUAUUGACUUUGAUGAUCACAGAGAUGCUGAGGAUGCAAUCCGUGAAGUAGAUGGUAUUCAGACCUGAUCCUCUUAUAUCACAUAAUGGCACUAGUUGCAUCUUCAUGUUCUGUAUGGUUAGUUGUGAUUCCUUUCUGGUUGGAUGGGACGAUGCUAGCCUUUCUUGUUAAAAAAAAAAUGGAUAAUGCCCUGAUUAGGAGCUACCACAUAGUUAUCGGGCUACUCUUUCUUUAGUAAUAAGAAAGUAUUAUGAUGGAAGUCAUGAUUUUGGGAUGCCUCUGGUAGUCUCCUACUUCUGCAGAAUCAGGUGAGCUCUAUGAAGAAUGUACUUCUGCAGUUCUACAGUUCCAUGUUUAUUUGUGGAGGAAGUGUGUACAUGUUUGAUCACAACUGAGCUGCUAUUGUUGCCAUAUUUGCUAAUAAUAUGGGUCAUAUUACAAGGGACCCUCACUCUUUUUAAUUUACUUUAUAGUUAGAUUUAUUGUCCAUAACCAUCUGUUUUUAUGUUGUUUUUGACAUUUUUCCAGUCUAGUUUUAUAUCUUAGCUCCAUAGUAUGUAAAACUUGUAGAGGGGUCAUAGCCUUUACCUUUUUUGUUCAUCUAACAGCAAGUUUCUGAUUUCUUUUUCUUAAUGGCAUCUUUAAUGAGCAUGAGCUUAUCAUUUGAGAUUCGCACUAUACACCGUGCCUUAGAAGUCGUGGAUUUUGAUCAGGCAAGAAUGGCUGGAGAGUUGAGCUUUCUCAUAAUUCUAGAGGCAGAGGUGGACGCGGAGGUGGAGGUGGUCGUGGACGCUCUGGUGGUUCGGAUUUGAAGUGCUAUGAGUGUGGUGAGCCUGGUCAUUUUGCUCGAGAAUGCCGUAUGCGUGGUGGUUCGGGAAGACGUCGCAGUCGCAGCCCUAGAUAUCGCAGGAGCCCAAGCUAUGGACGCAGGUAAGGCCUUCAAACCAAACAUUGUCUUAUCUUUAUGAUUAAAUGAAGUCUUAAUUUGGUUGAAUGACACUUACCAUUUUGAAGCAGAAGUUACAGUCCUCGUGGACGAUCCCCAAGACGUCGUAGUGUCUCUCCUCGUGCGCGUAGCUACAGCAGGUCUCCACCAUACCGUGGUCGUGAGGAAUUGCCAUAUGCUAAUGGGUGAAGCUCCUUGAACUUUAUACUAGUAGCUGUAAAUGCUUUCUUGUUGUAAUUUUUUUCACCAAUAAGUAAGGAAGUGCAUCGAGCUGAUUAGGAUUUUGUCACCUGUACUACACAUUUUGACCAUGCUCAGAGCUAUGUUCAUCUUAUUUUUUUUUUUUUCCUUUUAUGUCACAUGGUUUUGCAUUAUGAUAUAUGAGUGUGAAAUAUUGGUACUGAAUUUGGUGCAGAAAUGGUGUAAGGGAACGCCGUCGAAGCAGGAGCUAAGUAGCACAAGGAUGUAACUUUUAUGUGAGGAGACUGGGAUUAAGUGUGUUUAUUGUGUUUGGACUUCAGUGCAACUAUUUUAAAUUGGCCCUCAGCCUCUUGGAUUUGGAUAAGUUUCUUUUAGUUUUUCUUUAUUCUAUGAUGGUUUUCUUUGCUUUACUUAUGCUUGAUAGUCCUUUUUUCUAUGUAGGAAAAAAGUUGCUUUAGAUGGCCUUUAUAAAUUUAUUGAGAAAUCAUUCUGGAAGUCUGCUAAAAAAUUCAUGCUUUUCUUUUUGUGUUGAGGUGUCUUCUGGGUCUGCCUCAUUGGUUUUCUGCUUCUACACUCCCCUGGGAUUUACUUCUUUGCUGCCCGGCUAUGGGAUCUUCAAUUCUCGAUGAUUGUGGGUCCCAUUUGGCAUCAUCUCUAGUUGCUACUGUUUGAAUGAAUCUCUCCAGCUGUGAUGCACAUACUCUAGUGGCAUUUCUUUACUUUAUCUUAAAAGGAAUGAGGAGCUGCGUCAAAUGCUUCUGGCAGGUACUUAUAUCUGUUCUACAGAAGUUGAUGUUUUAGGGUCCUUACAUGAGUGGGAUUGGUAAUUCACAGAUAUAAUUUCUUUGCAAACUUUUGAAAAUGACAACAAAAAAGAUGUAGAAGGAUGCAAGGAUAUUUUACUUACUGUUUUUAUAACAUGUUUUUGGUCAUUCAGCUGACAAGCAAGAAUAAAUUUGGAGUCUUCUACUUCUAUUGGGUUGGAAAGUUGGGGAGCCGAACUUGCUUUUCUUCCUAGUGUCUUCAUCUAGAUCCAGAUGAUAAUACAUGAUAAAAAAAGAGUGUUUGCUUUUUUUUUUUUAAUUUACUAUUUGAAGUGAGUCUUCUGUCAACAUUUUUUGGGGGCUACAUGAAAUGGGGUUUUCUGGGAUGGUUGGCUUUUAGCUGCAGAACUUGAUGAUCUCUGAGCAUGUCCCCGCAAGUUAAUUAUGAUUCGUCCACCCAGCUAUAUAUUGGGGUCUCUUCAUAGGCUGCAAAACAAGUAUAGGUGAAGUGACAAUGCCUGUUCUCUUUGGUCUCUACUGGAGGAUGGUAAACCUAUCAAAAUUUGGUGGUUGUGUUUGUGUUUUAACAGCACGGAGCUUAUCUCUCUCCACAUGUUUAUGGUCAUUGCUUAGGAAUGUUAAUCUUCAUUGCGCCCCUUUGAAUCUCUUUGCUACAAGUGAGAUGGUUACGCAGCUGGACCUCAUCAUGGUUUUGGCCCUGUGGAAUAUAUUAGACUCUGAAACAAGAGCAGGGAUAAAGUUUUUCAUAUUAGGUUUCAUAGGGUUCAAUCAUUUCAGAUUGGGAAUUCUUCUACUUUGAAAAGUGUCUAGAUGAAUUCAUUAUAUUUUUCUGAAACAAUUUUUUUUGGUAUGAAUAUGGUCAAAUGAGGGUCACACUUUUGUUUGUUUUCAUUGAAUCAAUUUUUACCAAGUUUCCCAUACAUGAGUGGCAAGAUGAUUGCAAUAUGCCCUUAUUCAACUGAGGGUCACCUUCAAAUUUACUCUCCUGUUGAAUUCUUCUCCCAAGGUUUAGAUCAUGUUAUUGGUGGCUUUGUCAGCCUCCACUUGGUUAUUGAUAUUGAAACUUUUUAAAGUCCAGCAAAGACUUUUUCUCCCAUUUUAAAUGAGGGUGGGCCGGCCUGUUAACAUGAUUUGUCAUUAAAGGCAAGGGGUAGUUGUAGCCUAAUUAAAGCACAUUCCAUUCCAAAUUGGCAUUUUUUCCAGGCUUACCCCACAAAAGCGGAUGCAAAAUAUCUUCCUUUUCAACUUAAAUCCAAUUGCGUGUGUCUGUACUGUAUGUUAAAGCAAGACAAGUUAAAGAGGUUGUCAUUCAAUCUACAUAUGAUUAUGGUUCACUUGUUUUUGGGACCAAAAGAAAUAGGGCAAUGCCAAGUAGUUGAAUCUGCUUUUUCCCUAAUUCAAUCAAAAUAUUACUUAGGAUCUAUCAAAAUAUUAUAUUUGGUUUUUUACUGUGAUAUGAUAUUAUAAUAAUAUAAAGAAUUAUAAAAGUUAAACGAGUUUGAAUGGAAUAUUUUGAGAUGGAGUUAAUUAAUUACAAUCAUAAAUUAGGUUAAAUCAAUGAAAAUGUUAGAUGAAGUCUUGAAUCGUACGUAACUUUGAUUACGCUAGAUAAUGAGAAGAAUUGAAAGUGAAAUUAUGACCCUGUGGAAACCGACGUGGCAAGAACUGGUUGGGUCGUGGGCCCCAAAACAAACUGUUCCAAACUGCCAAUAACGAAUCGUGCCUGCCUGCCUCCGAAGGCUAAAAUAAGAGACUCAGAGGCAGAGCAGCAUGUCUAAUUGUCUGACUCGGGAUCAUGACUCACCAUUUCACGCAACACAAGUUUGACGAGCAACUAACUUUCAUUUAACGGCAAAGUGUUUUUUGUUUUAAUUGGUCCUAGGAAAAAGGAAAUUCAAAAGGGGGAACUCCGCCAAAUCUGCUAAAAGUAUCUUCCUUUCUUGGUUGCCGCCUCCAAAGUCAUGGCUCUCACGUCCUUUCAUACUGAACCCCUUCUUCCAAAAGUUCAUAAUUUGUUAAAAAAACAGUAAACUCACUGCCAUGUGAGCUGUUUUUUCGAUUAUUUUAUGGAUAUAUAUAUAUAUUAUUUCUUUCGUUGCUUAUUAGAGGGAAGUCAAAGCACAUAAAGCCAACAAAUAGUGCAGAAUUCAUCCUUUCCUCCCCACCCCAGUUUGAUCCUGCAUCCUUCCUUCUGAUCUCUUCUCCUUCUGCCCCCCCAAAUCUUGCAUCUAAUUACGUCAAGAUUCUUCCUCUUUUUGCAGUGAAAAAGAGCUUUUUUGUUGGUAUUUUACUAUGUUGGUCGAUAUGACAAAAAGUAAGAAAGGUUUUCUUAAAGAUGGUAUUUUCAGAUAAUAUCUGUUGCAGUAGAGCUGCAGCCAUUUCUCUGCCAAUGGUUGUUUUCACUUUACGUAUGUGAGUAAGAAUUACAAGGAUGGAGUCCAGAAAAGAGAAACUAGUGAGGUAAUCUCUGCCACAUCCUCUGUUUUUCAUUUCCCAAUUUCUUUCUUCUUGAAAUUUCGUUGAUAGGGCCUUUCUUGAAUUCUCAGGUUCAACAACAAUGGCAGUACACAUCUAGAGAAGCCACUGCCAGUGUUCAAAGCAACAGCUCCUUUGUUGAAAACUGAAGGAGGUCUUAGUGAUAGAGAUAGUGGUAGCAGAAUUCCCAAAUUUGGAAAGUUUAAGGUUUUUCCAGAGGAUCAUGAGCCACGGAGGGAGAGAAUUCUGGAUCCUGGUAGCGAAAUUUUUUUGCAAUGGAACAGGAUUUUCCUCUUCUGGUGCUUAGUAGCUCUAUUCGUUGAUCCUUUGUUUUUCUACCUGCCUUCAGUAAUAAACAAAGACAAAUCAUCUUGUAUCGAUACUGAUUUAAAUUUAGGAAUUAUUGUGACAUGUUUUCGGACACUUGCUGAUGCAUUUUACGUGUUGCAUAUAAUCAUCAAGUUCCGGACAGCUUAUGUGUCGCCUAUCUCCAGAGUAUUUGGGAGGGGUGAACUUGUCACCGACCCAGAUAUGAUUGCCAGGCGGUAUUUGAGAUCAGAUUUUUUCAUAGAUCUAGUGGCUGCUCUCCCUCUUCCUCAGGUACUUCUACAGUAUGUUUCUCCAUCAAUGGUUUACAACGUUGGAUUUAUGUUCAAUUAAACCAAAUGGUUUAAAUUGGAGGCCUUCGAUGUCGGAAUGGUCUGUUUGUUUAUAAAUAGAAUUCAAAGAUUAAAGUACAGUUCAUGGAAAGUAGCUGAAAUUGAUGUAAAUGUUGCAAGCAAAACAGCUGAAAUUUGAUAAGGUUAUAUGUUUCUUUCACAAGGUUCAAUGUUUACUCUUGAAGUUUGAUAAGAUUAACAUCAGUUUAUUCCUUUUCUUGUUUUGCAGAUUGUGAUAUGGUUCAUUAUACCAGCAAUCAGAAGCACCAAUGCUGAUUAUACUAAUAAUGCACUUGUGCUGAUUGUUCUGCUCCAGUAUGUUCCUCGAUUGUAUCUGAUCUUCCCUUUAAGCUCUCAGAUUAUCAAAGCCACAGGAGUCGUCACAAAGACUGCUUGGGCGGGGGCUGCAUAUAAUCUCCUACUUUACAUGUUAGCUAGCCAUGUAUGUAAUCGUUUCUUACUCGAAUUUCAUCUCUUAUCAGUCAAGUGUCUAUCAUUGUUCCCAUUUUUUAUUGUAUCCUUCCAACUUUAUGGAGUAUGCAUACAAUGAUAUGGCUUCUCUUCUUGUAGGUAUUAGGGGCAUCCUGGUAUCUAUUGUCAAUUGAACGACAUGCAACAUGUUGGAAAUCUGAAUGCAGAAAUGAGACUAGCCCUCUGCGAUGCAAUCCUCAUUACCUUGAUUGUGCCACGUUGAAUGAUGGCCGUCGCCAGAUAUGGGAAAGCAGUACUCUUGUGUAUAGUAAUUGUGAUCCUAGCAAUAAUAUCAGUUUCGACUAUGGGAUUUUUCAAAAUGCUUUGACAAAGAAAGUAUUCUCCUCAGGCUUCCUUCAGAAGUAUUUCUAUUGUCUGUGGUGGGGUUUGCAGAAUUUAAGGUAUGCCUCAAGAACAUGAUGUACAACAGACUACCUUUAUUUCUGUUCUAAAGGUUUGUAUAAUAUUUAGUUGGAUUUAUCCCUGAUAGUUAUAGGUUCCAUUUUUCUCCAUGGAACAGUUAUAUUUCCUGCUUUGCUUGGAUGACAAAUAAAAACAAUUACGCUGUCCACAUACUUUAUUUUAUGGAAAAUUUUGAUGUAUAACUCUGCUUUCUGAAUUUUCAGCUCUUAUGGACAGACAUUGAAUACAAGCACAUUUGUAUGGGAAACCUUGUUUGCCAUACUGAUUGCCAUCUUGGGUCUGGUUCUGUUUGCCCAUUUAAUUGGAAAUAUGCAGGUAUUGCGGAACCCCUGCAUACAAUUGUUACUGCUUUUGACA